GCGGGUUUAACGUUCUGAGAUAUGGUCAGUCGCACCAUUCUUCCACACCAGUAGAUCUGGCCUCUCGUCUCCAGCUCUUUGCCCUUCUCUACGUUCUCCUUGGCGGCCUGGUGACCGGAGUCUCCUGAAGUAUUGCAGCCGGACUUCGCCGAGAACCCUCCAAGUUCAGCAGGAAUGUGAGUCUUUGGAGGAGUGCAUGCUUGAGGAAGAAUUUUGUGCUCUGCAAUGCGCGCUCCAACCUGGAUCGACCGGAACAGCAGCUGAAAUGCGACUCGCAACCGUGCCUCCCAGAAGUCAUCCCCGAGAGAGCAUGUUUCUGACAGGAGUUGCAUCUCAUCCCGGCACGCAGUAAUAUCCAUCGACCAGUGAUGCUCCAAACAGUACACCACCUUCUGCUUGAUCAUCGCCGACGGCAUUUAAGUCGCCUUCAGUGAAUGCCGAUAAAUCCGAGCAGACUUCGGACCUUGAUGAAUAUUGUUCUCGAACAGCUCCGCCAGGAUGCCAGCAUGAUUGCCUGCUUCCCUGAAUGCUUCUUUGUGUUUUCUACAGUCUCCCUGCUUUUCUGUUCGUCGCUGGCUCACUGUUGGAGGUUUGUCGAAUGCUGCACCUAUCAAGCUCAUGUCUUUAGCCAAACCUUUUAGAGCUGUCUUUGGAGAUGCUUUGUUUCGCUGCUUCGAUAAGAGCGACAGUGGUUUGUCGCCUCCUGCUUCGUAUUCCCCGACUCGGCUGCCACUGGCGAUGCCUCUACGAGGAGCAACGGCCUGCGAUCUUCGUUGGACACGUUUCUGUAAGGCGUCUGGCGAGUUUGUACUUCGUCGAAUACUCUCUGGGUAGAACGAAUAGGAGUGGCAAGUCGGCUGAUGACUUUGAGCAGGUUGAUAGAGAUCGGCAUCCAGAUGAGCUGCGGCCAUCGCAAGAACAAACCCUAGAGCUCUCUCCACACGAGAGAGCUCCUAGCUAGCUAUUUAUACAAAGGAAGCGCGCUCGUUGACAACGGACGGCUGGGAUUCCUCGCGAAAUGCUUUGGCCUUAUCCUAAUCGCUAAACUUAAAUUUAAUUUCCAAAAUAUUCUAUAGAAUAUGCCACUGUCCUUUCUGUCUUUCCCCGUUUAUUAUUUGAAAAAUCGAAUGCUUUGAAGUCCUAUAUCGAGCGAUCAUUUUCUAUUCACAUUGUAAUAUAAACAGAUCCAUCAAGUUCUACCAAUUAUUUUCGGAAAAAAAUCCAGCUUUGAGAUCAUCUUUCGUGCUAUCAAUAAUCUCGCGAACAUCCUUCUCAGUCCAAUCAAGAGCACCAUCUCCAGCAACGAUUCGGAUCAAACUCUGGAAGAAGAGCUUGGUAUGAUCGCUAGAACCAGAUCCAGGAACUCAGCGUAAACUCCUUUCGAGGCACGUAAAGCAUCCCAUGGACGUGCUCCCCGUCUGGAUACGUAGCACUCGAGUCCUAGCAAUGAGUCCUAGCAGGGGCGAUGAGAACUUCGACAAAAUGCUCAAGGAUGGCACUCGUUUCAUCGUUUCAUUGCAAAAAUCGCAACUUUGAUCAGCGAAAAGAAACGUUAUACUCACCUCCACACUUUCACAACUCGAUUGUUCCCCACUUCGACAAUGCCGAAAAGAAAAUACAUAUAUCCAGUUGUUGCCCCAAGCUUGCAGAAAGAUUGGAGCAAAACGACCACUUCUCAUAUUUGCACUGCCAUCCUUCUUGGAAACACAAGCUCCAGCUUGAUGUAGCAGUAUUCUGGUUAAAGAGUUAGCAUGCUAAACGUUCCAAACUUCAAUGUACGCUCCACUCUCAAAACUGUAACAAGAUUGCUUAAUCCUUGAACUCGUCCGUCACGAACCAAGACCCAGAAGCCAUGCUCGGUUUGAGUUUCAUCAGAGUCAUCUGCGUCCUGCAAAAACAUUUAAGACAAGACGGAAAAGAUGAAGGAAAAUGUGGAAAGAAUAAGACUUAUUUCAGCGUCAACUAGUAAGCUCUCAAGAUGAUCAUCAUCGCCUCCAGCUAACCUUGGUGUUCCACUUUGGUUAAUAACGCAUUAUCACUUCAUAAACUGAGGUGCCGUUGUAAUAUUGGGUUUUGUGAUUUUGUAAAGGUCCGGAGUUAAUGCUCCUUUUGGGAUACAAAAGGAAACGCAUGAAUUCAAUAGAAUUGUCGAGUCUCACACUGCAGCGUCCAGUGAUACGUCAAUAAUCUCUUCCAUGGCAGCACGCAAAGCAUCUGAAUCCAUGGAUUGUCCCAAUCUUGUCACCAGCAAUAGGAUUCGCCAGUUCCUCAAGCAGUCGAACGAAUGGAUUGUUUGCAAUAAAACAACUGUGGUAUUUGCUGGGAAGGACAUCAAUCUUCCGCUGCUUACUUCUUAGAUCGCAACAAGAUACUACAUGAUCGACCUCAUCAGUAGCAUUCAAAGACGAAGCUGGAUACUUACCAAGAAAUGCAGCUUUGAGAUCAUCUUUGAAUCUUUUCCUGGCAUUGAUAAUGUUGCAAACUUCUUCUCGGUCCAAGCUAGAGCACUAACGAUUCGGAUCAAGCUCUGAACGAAGAGCUUCGAGUGAUCGCAUAAACCGGAGCCACGCAUUUUCACGUUGGGCAGCAUAAACUCCUCGCGAGGCAAGUACAACAGACCAUGGAUGUAUUCCCCAUUUGGAUACGUAGCAGACGAGUCCUUUGAAUACUUCGCAGAAAAGUAUGCAUUUUUGUAACUUUUUGUUGAAGUUAUACUUCUCGUUGGUACAGCAAGAGAAUCAAUCAGAAUGACAACCAAAAAUCUACUCACCUUUGCACUUUUACAGCCGGAUUAUUCGUCAGCUCUAACCAAGCCAAAGAAGAAAUACACACCAUACAUCCAAUCGUAUUUGCCCCAAGACUGCAAAAAUGGCUGCAAAAAGAUUGAUCAAGCUGCAGGAAACAAUAGCUGUACUACCUGAAUACAAAGCCACGAGACAAUCCUCCAAUAUGUUCUUCGAAGGCCCAGACUUUUUUUGAGAUCUCCAUCGCCUGUGUUCAUGGACAAGCUUUCAAACAAGAAAAGUAAGACAACACUCUCUCAAAAUCUCCAAACGAGCUACCUGAGAAUCCUACAAGUUUUCUCUUGCAAGAACCAAUUUUUUCUUGGGCAGCAAACUGCGGAAAAGAAAAAAUGGAAGACUUAGAGGCAGAGCCAACCAUGAAAAAGGGCUCUUAAAUUUCUUCGGGCGAAAAUUCUUCAUCGUGGAACAAUGCCACAUACUUUAUCAGGUCCACAGAAAUAUGGGAACGGUUGCAUGAACUGCAUGGCACGUUGAUGCUCACUCGCAUGCAAUGCUGGAUGAUUGGUGAGGAUGUUCCUUCACGAGAUUGUAGAGCGGUCGAAUUGUCAUGGCCAGCGACAUGGAGCCGGCAAAGGAAUCCAAUCCCACAAACCAAAGCAUGUAGCGAGAUGGACGACGUCACUGAAUCCAUCGACUUCGCAUGUGCGCUCCAAAAAUGUUUGACGGAUAGCGCAAUAUACGUACUCAUUUGAUCAUUUUAUUCGGCUAGCUCUCACUGUUCUUCUUCUUUUUUUUCCUAUUUCUUUCAAGAAGACGAAUUUUCUUGUACAAAUCAUCGGGAAAAGAAGAAAUGGAGACUAUUUCUCAUUGAUUAUCUCAAGAGAAAUACGGAAAUAUAAUAAGCUUAAGUGAAAAACCUUUUACAAAAUUUUAAGCUCAUCUGAUUCUCAAACCUUGAGCCUCGCAGCCUUGCAGCCCCAGGAACAUCUUCAGUGUCAAGUUUGAAUAGCUCAUCCGCCUUCAGGUCAACAUAUUCUGACGCAAGAACUAUGGUGUUGCAGUUGGAGCAGCUGGAUACCUGGACUAUCGUCGAUGGUGCCUCCAUUUACAUUGAGAGUCUGGGACCAAUUCUCCAGUGCGUUUCUGACGUGGAAUCCAAUCACCAUGAGUUUGCGAAACAGGGAAUCUAUGUGUAUAUGGAGCCCUGGACGCUGCAGGAUGCACCAAGGCAGUUGGCUUGAACAUCAUGGAUAUGCGAGAUCAAUAUCCCUACUCCGGAGGAGUUCCCAGAUACAUCUUUUACUUGGACACAAGCAGACUCAAGAGCCUCAUCAACAACGCUUUUGCGAAUGUCAGCAACGUCUCCGAGUUAUUGAAGAAUCCUGAUAGCAAGUUUUCCAACAAGAUUUUACAUUAUAGAUCAGUUCUUUGCUUUUACUUCUUUCGAUACAUGCUCUUCUUUUGCAGGUCUCAGCAUCCACAAGAAAUGGAGGCAUCUAGAUAUAAGGGUGGAAAUUAAAAGAGGUUUAAUAAAACUCCCUUUACCCAAAACUUUAAACACACAUUUCAUCCCUUAAGCUUGUAAAAAAAGGAAAUAUUUUAGGUUUUCACUUGUCCUUUCAGCAGAGAAGUCAACAAAGAUGCUAAACAAGAGUAGCAAAGUGUACAAGGAGCUCCAUCUUCUCCAAAACUACCCAUUGUUUUGGUUCUCAUCCUCCUAGCAGAGUGGCUUCCAGUUUGGAAGUGUGGAUGAGUUGAAGCUGUAUUUGAAACAGCAACACCCAACUUGUAUAAAGUGCAAUUAAGGUGAGUGUGGCAACUUUGACUACUUUAACAAUGACAUCGGCCAGCCAAGAUAUUGCUGCAGUCUGUGCAAGAAAAAAUUUACCUAUCGUGGAAAAACAAGACCCACCUACAUGAAGUGGCCAAGAUCAAGCAGCACUGAGGAAGUUAGCAUGGCACAUGAGAACAAAAACUCAAGCACACUCCAGUUGAAGACAAGAUGAGAAAGGGUUUGCUAGUCCACGAAAGUCAAGCGAAGCAGAGUGGUCAACAGGCCGAUAAAGCUGGGGCAGCAGACAUAGAAGAUUUUGACAUGGAUGACCUGGAAGUGGCUAGAAUCAUGGCACUGGUCGAGGAGAAUGAAGUCCCAGACGAGGAGGAACACAUCCCUCUUGUGUUCCCUGAGGUGGCAGAAAUUGUAGUGAGUGACAGAGAGAUGACUGAAAUUCUAUUGUCAAAUCUCGAGGAUGUGGAUGAUGAGGAGAUGCUAGAUCUUGUGCUUGAGGAGGUUUUGGAGCAGCCAGAACACAAGGAGGGGUUGGCAAAAAUUCAAAUUGGCAAUGGGGAAACGAGCCAAAUCCUCCAAAAGAAUGUGGACAAUGAGGAUCUUGUGCUUGAGGGGGAUUCUCAGGAGGAGUAGGUAGAGGCAAUGGAGGGGGACAUUUAUUUUGCUCUCGAGCUUGAACAGGAUCUCCAGGCCGAAGAAGAUAAGCGAAAGGAGGAAUCUAUAAUGCUCUGGAAGAUUGAAUUGGAGAAAGUUAAAUGUAGUGGUAUUUUUAAUUUCAAAACAAAUCCGUAGGGUAGUAUUCUUUGUUGAUUGAAUCAACAAUCAAAUCAACAUAAUUAAGAUAGAAAAAUUAUAAAAAAAAAAAAUACUUCCAUGUUUGGUGUAAAAUUUAUUAAUAGUAUUAAAUUGAUUCACAACAAGAAUUUUCCACUAGUCCUGAAAUCGUGCCCCAGAAGGAGGCUUUCUGCAAGGUACUUAAUUCUUCUCACCUAGAUUUUCUUCUUUUUCAUGUUGCAGACUGUCGGAAAUAUGUAUCAACAGCUGUCCGAGGAACUUAGCUGGAUCAAGGUUGAAAAGGAGUUGCUUCAUCAGAGCUGCGAGAGAUCCAAGCAGGAGGUAAAUCGAAGCUGGUUAAGGCAGACUUUUUUUGUGAUUCAGUUUAAAACACUUGACUUGAGAGCAGGACUGACUUGAAAGAUGGCCUACCAGCCGGGACCUGCAAAUACAUGCUGCGCAGGUGCAAACUCCUGCCAUGAAGAAUCAUAAUCAUAAAAAAGUAAGCAGUGGCAGAGUAAACACUAACCUUCACAGAGAGAUAUUCUUCGUAGUGGGAGGUGUUCACGAAGCAUGAAACCAUGAUCUGCAUUAAAAGAGAAAAAGAAGAAUUAGUAGAACACGAAGAUGGUUUCUACCAUAAGAGACUGGUUUCACGGGUCAAUGUUGUCAAAGAACAGUUUUCGAUGCAACCGUCUAGAGCCCUGCAAAAUCUCAAGUUCUAGGAAUCAUAAGAAGAAAUAUCAAGAUAUCUACCUGCAUAUUCCGAUGAUCGCAACACAGGCUACGGAAGAAUGUACUUCGUUCGACUCUUGUCCCGUUCACGUCGCUGAUUGAAACACACCACUGUCAGAGCUACAAAGAAAAGAAAUUCAUGAACUAUAUGUCUCCACCUAGAAGAUAUUGCGACACAGAAAUUUCCUUGGGAAAUUCCUUGCGAAGGCCGCGGCAUUUCGACAAUCUCACGAGCUGGUUGCAGCGACAAAGAAUCCUGCCAAGCACCAAUUACCACAAAACAAGCCCGAGAAACCUAGCUUCAGGCUUCAGCCUACUCGUGGACAGAAGGAAGAGCCCAGCCCCCGGUCUCGAUGGAAUUUGUACGCUUACACCGGCGGCAACUCCUAAUCCAUGAGAAUUCGAGCUGAGAGAGGAGUAGCGGCAUUGUAAACUCUCGCGUCAUACCUUCAUCGCGCCAUGGAAGAAUGGAACCCUAAAUUAACAGCCGUCAGAUCAUUUUCAUCCGCGCCCUCCACUGCUUUACCGUUGGGGUUUCUCCAGCCGUCAGAUCAAGCGCAUCGUGACCGUCCGAUCCCAACAUAUAAGCUUGCGAGCGGGGCAUUUGUGCUUCUUUGCCGGGCAGCUAUGGAUGUUAGGGAUGGCGAUGGCGAUGGCGAUCGCGGCGACGGUGAAGGAGAGGCCUGUCCAAUCUGUUCCAGCGGCAUCUCGGACGUCCACACGGACUGCGGCCACUGGUUUUGUCUAGAGUGCUUGGUGGAAUGGGUGGAGAGCGCGCCAUCGAUCAGGUCAUGCUCCACGGCCAGUACCGAAUGGACUUGCCCGCUGUGCCGCCACGCGCUCGAGGCAUUCGAUUUCGAUGAGCGAUGGAGCGAUGGCACCGACCGCGAGGAGCUCCGGCAGCGAUUACGCGACUACCAGCAGGAAAUAUCCGAGCGUAAGCGCGACCGCGACCGCCGACGAACCCGACGACGAUUACGACGAUCCCGACGACGAUCCGCUGUUGUGGAGGACGAGAACGAUGCGGAUUGCUACCCGUGCUUGUUGUUCAUCAGCGCGCUCCUCCUCUGGUUUCUUCUCAUUGCGACAGGAAUUCUAGGCUAGAAAGGGAGCGACUUGGAGCGAAUUCCCAGCCAGAGGGAGGGGAUUUGGAGUCGCUGGGAGCUGCGCUCUCUUCGAUCUCCUGGGAUUUUGGAGUGGCGAUGUUCAAAGCUUCGAUCUUUUGGCAGAGGGAAGAGGUAGCGCAAUGUAAGUACUCUCUCGUUUAUUCGUUUGAUCGUUUUCAUCGGCUAGCUCUCACUGUUUUUCUUUUUGCCUCUUUCUCGCAGAGUUACGAGUAGAAGAAAGAAGAAUAUUCCCCAUCAUCCACUUUUUGUAUUAAAGCGUAACAAUUUUAAGCUUUAGCUAAUCUUGUUUAGCGGGGGAGCAAAGAAUAUGCUUGCAUUAUCCAUUUUCUUAGGCGGGAAUGGAAAUUUAGGGUUCCAGGCCAUGGCGAGGCUGAGCAGUGGCGCCCAGUUCGCUGAAGGUAUGCCGCAAUCUCCUCUACUCCUCUCUUAUCUCGGAUUGGACUAGGGACUGCCGCCGCUACAGCGCCAGGCGAUUUCCAUCGAGAGCGCGGUGCUUGGCAGGAUUCUUUGGUCUAAAUGGUGCUGCUCAAGAGCAACGAUUUCCGCUGGAAUUUCUCAACGAAAAUGUGUCCGGGGUCAUAGCAUUUGCUCGCUGGGGUCUAUCCAACUAAUAUUCUUCCAGGUGGGAAUAUAGAGUAUAAAGUUCGUGAAUUUCAUUUCUUUCUAGCUGACAUUGGACUGUUUCAAUCAGCGACGUGAAUGGGACUAGUGUCGAACGAUUAGCAUCGAAAUAUGCAGGUAGAUAUCUUGGUCUUCACUUGAUAUCUCACAGGGCGUCCUAAACAAGCCAAGUUGUGUCAAUUCCUACGAUUUCCUGAAAUUCCUGCGAACUUUCCAGGUUUGUCUAUGCGUAACUUGUGUGUCAUAGCAAAUCGUAAUCUAGUUUCUUUCGACGUGGUCUCCUACAGUUAUAGAUGCGAAGACUGGGAAGCUGUCCAUAUACCCAACCACAAGUUCAAGACGAGCGUUGUCCGCAAUUUAGAAAACUCGCACAAUUAUUUGGAUGCGAGCAAGAUCAACGUAAGAUAACGUGAAUUGAUUAUCCGUCUCUAAACACGUAGCCGUCGUUUCAGCUCAUUGUCGCAGACAUGAGAAAAGUUCUUGCCUAUCAUCCAUAAGUGGAGCACGGACGAUUGCAUCGAGGAAAUUAUUCUUCUUGCUCGAAGUCCACAAUGCCCGACUUGCCACUCCUAUUCGCUCUGUAUACAACGAAGCAGAAACUCGCCAGGCGAACUUGUCCAACAAAGACGGCAGGCUGUUGCUCCUCGGAGUCUGGAAAUGUUUCGAUUCCAUGGGAGUUGAUGUUAAAGACAUGAGCUUCCUAUGGAAAAACCUCUAGCAAAGAUCUGGCAGUUUUUCUUUUCUGAAUUUGUUGCUUUGUUUGUAUUUGUUUGUAUACAUCCAAGAGCAUUCAUUUAGUUUAUAUUCCAUCAACAAUUGAGGUGAAAUUCGAAAGACCACCACAUCUUAUCUUCUCCAUCUCAGCCUUCCAUAGCAUCAUCACUUCCCUGUUUCCCGUUUGAAGAUCUUUCUCCAGCUCCAGUGGUGUGAUUGUCGCAUUUCUAGCACAUUUACUUUCUCUCUCGGCUGAGGUUUGUUUCGAACAGGAAAGUCUCAGACACCUUUAAAGCUUCUAUGCUUUCUUCUAACGUUUCCACUCAUCCUCUGAGUCUUCGAAGCGUUUCCAGCCCAGAAUGGACCAAGCCAUCUCAAACUCCGAACUAUUGCGGGGUAAGCUCGGCGCGAUCACCUUCACGAGCUUCUUCAAGGUGGCCUACGACAUUGUGUCGCAGCUCAUAGAUCCUGUGCGUGGAAACCGAUGGUAGAACACGACGGCGCCCUUGAAAUCAGUCACCAGCUGCAAAAACGGAAGCUUGGACGACCUCGCCAGCAGGUAGAAUUCCAGCUCGCAUCUGUUCAAUCCCUGCCGGCUGCUCAGCUCACUGACGACCUCGAUCCCAAGAACAGUGUCGCUUCCAUGCGCAAGAACGGCCGAGCUCUUGCUCCUCACCUCGACGUCCAAGUUGAUAGCACGGAGAACCUCCACUUUGCUGUCGAUCUCCUCCAGAUCCAGCCACCGGUAUGAAGACUGUGGCACACGAUCUCGUGGGCCUGAGCUCGAGGGAGGUGAUGAUUGAUGUAGAGCUCUUCUUCUUCUUGCGUGAUCAAGCCCUGGUGAUCGUGCUCCUUGUCGAUGGCGACGACGUUUGGAUCGUUCACAUCCAAAUGGUAGCGAAAGGUGAGCAUGAAUUUGUGGCACAGCAGCGAGUCUGCGUCGAUCCUACCUCUGGACAGCUUCGCCAUCCAAGCCAGCUCCUUGGGCAGCUUGAUGCCUUGGAUGAUCGCCGCAUUUUGCCGCAUCUUGGCUAUGGUUGGUCCCGACCACGUUCUGCUGAAAUCUCGACCGCCGCCGAACGCAGUCGGACAGCUCCUUUCGGUAAUUCCGUUCAGCGAAAAAAAUGGUGAUCGCGCUCGCAGGGGCUAGAUUUCUGAUGCUGCUGCAGCUAUUGCCAUCACCACUACAUCUUCACUGCUUUGCUGUUCUCCUGCUGCUAUGGAGUGAUCCAUCCAUCCACAAAUGCCCAGCCUAGCAAGCCUACAUAGAAUCCGACGAAGAGGGCUAUUGUAAGCAACUAAAUUUUCCAUUCUACUUUAGUCACUUAACCACACCUCUGACCACUUGGAGGAGUCUCAUUCACAACCUCCAGAAGUCCAAUCCAGGACUUGGGACUUACUAGCCCCGAGAAUGGCAUCCAUGCCACUCAACAUUUGCACUUGGUCCAAGUGCUCCACGUGUCCGAUCCCAUGACCGACACUCAAAGGUACCACCGACAUAGCAGCCCGUUACGCUAAGGCCAUGCCCAAUCACCUUUGCCACACUGGUAGUCCAAUACCACUUGCAUCACAGUCUUGGCUCUCCAAGACUGGGCCAUCUGUCCACGAGUGGUCAUCCUAGAUCCACUCCUUAGCAUCCUUAGGAUGCCCACAAACCGGGGGAAUCGCCUUCCCCAAAGUCCCUUUGUCAGUUCCUACCAAGUCCCUUUCUGCCCCUGGCCGUGUUUGCCAACACUGCCACUGGAUCGAGGCCCACAGGCUCGACCACUAAGUCCCACGGUCCUCUGGGACUUCCUCACCACACGACUGUGUCCUUGGUCACUACCCCAGAGGACUGCUCCUCUUCCUUUCCACAGUCUAGGCCUUUGGGACAACAUUUCGGAACACCGUGGCCUUACGCGAGCCACCUGGGUACUCUCCCCGCCUUUCACCUUUAGGUGCUCUAGCCAUGGGCUUAGAGCGAGGUUUCGUUGAGCCACGCCUGGUAUCCAAGUAGGUAGUGCCACCCACACUUGGACUGGGAGCAUCGGCCAGUCGAUCUCCCGGGGGAACUAGAGCCGGCUCUUGAACACUUCACCAAGCUACCCUGCUUGUCGGUCCGUGUUCACUCUAGUCUUGGACUUCCCAGUGGGCAGCUCAUCACCCAACACUGGGUCCGGCCUUCCUGGGCCAAACUGGCCUUUCCUGGCCAAACUGGCUCCACUGCAGUCCUCCCCCUACUAUACUUUUGGAGCUCACCAAACCCCCCAGGGUCUGGGAGACGAACGCUUUGGGCUUUCACCCUCUCAGGCUCCGGACUCGGACUCGGACUCGGACUCGGACUUGGACUCGGAUUCGGACUCGGACUCGGGCUCGGGCUCGGUCUCGGCCUCGGCCUCGGUCUCGGUCUCGGUCCCGAUCUCGGUCUCGGUCUCGGUCUCGGUCCCGGUCUCGGUCUCGACUUCGGACUCCAUCUCGGACUCCAUCUCGGACUCCAUCUCGGACUCCAUCUCGGACUCCAUCUCGGGUCCAUCUCGGGUCCAUCUCGGACUCCAUCUCGGACUCCAUCUCGGGUCCAUCUCGGACUCCAUCUCGGACUCCAUUUCGGGUCCAUCUCGGGUCCACCUCGGACUCCAUCUCGGACUCCAUCUCGGACUCCAUCUCGGGUCCAUCUCGGACUCCAUUUCGGGUCCAUCUCGGACUCCAUCUCGGACUCCAUUUCGGGUCCAUCUCGGGUCCACCUUGGACUCCAUCUUGGACUCCAUUUCGGGUCCAUCUCGGGUCCACCUCGGACUCCAUCUCGAGUCCAUCUCGGACUCCACUUCGGACUCCAACUCGGGUCCAUCUCGGACUCCACUUCGGACUCCAACUCGAGUCCAUCUCGGACACUUCCACGUGUCAUGUGUUGGUCCUUUUGGGUCCCUUUUUGGAGCCUCGCUUUUUGCUCGCUUCGUGCUCGUUCCUCGAGCACUUCUUUGGGAGUUCCACUCCCACUCUUGACUUUUCAAGUCGGAAACGUGUUACGCUCGUUUGGCUCUCGCUUCAGCCACUACCACGUGGCACCCUUUCCGGCUCCACUUUGGGGCCUAGGGAUUUUGUGUCUCACAACUCCACCACCCAUAGACGAAGUUCGAUGUCCUCAUCGAACAGUAAACCAUUUUGUAAAGUAACACUCGCAUGUGUUACCAUUUCCAUCCUUGGCACCUAGCCAAUAUUUGUCAAUGGUUUGACAUUGAAGGCUCACCAUGCCUUUUGCAUAUGCCUCAAUGGUUUGACACCAAAGGCUCACCAUGCCUUGCCUAUCCUCUAAGGAGGGUAGUCUCCCCAACUUAGAGACUGAUUGGACCACAUGUAGUGGUUCUCUCCUUUUAUUGGUUUAGUUCUCGCUAAACCUCUUAGAGACCCUUCUCUAAGUCAAUCCCACUUACUCCUUCUUGAGUAGUCUUAAUUUCCUUCUAUUGAAUGUUUGCACCUUGGAACUUUUACUCUUUUGACUUUUGGAAGUCAAUUUCCUAGGUGUCUCCAACACCUUGCAUUGCACAGAUCGUGCGACUCCACUUCCCUAUCUUAGGAAGUUCGUUACUUGAGGGCACCAUCAUCCUCUCUUCUAUUUCGUGCCAUCUUAGGCACUAAGUUCCAUUUAUCACACUUUGUGCUAGGGUUGUCCAUCGCCCUAUCAUUUGGCUACCUUACCACUCCCUCCCUUGGAGCUUCCACUUUCGUCAAAUCGGAGCAAUUCGGAAUCCAUCCCUGGAAACACACUUCCUUUCCCGCAAUUUGUUAGUGUCCAACACAUUAGUGUUCCUCGCCUAACUUUGUCACUUGGAUUCCUUCCCAGGGAUUCCACGGCCCUAUCUUGGCCACUCAUCUUUUGCUCCUAUCCGUUGAUUGUUGCACCAAGCAACAUCGAAUCUCUACCUCCCUCCUUGAGGUAUUCUUUUGAUUCCAUAGCAAAGGCUCUACUUUGCCAAGACUAGAGUGUUCACCCCUAGUAAGUCUCUUUUAGCAUCUUCUGCUGUGGGCUCUAUCCUCGACCCAACUUUGUGACCCUCUCAUGGGUCUCUUUAGAGAUUACUUUCCUUGGACACACUAUGCCAUCGCAAUGACAUAGCUCAUUUCCCUAAGGUGCUUUUCCCACUUGGUCACUUUGACCAAGCCACACCAUCAUCAAUAGUUCAAAUCAACACUUUGAACUAGGAACCUUAUUCCUUAACCCAAACAAGGACCUUGUCCUUAUUUAGCCACAAGAUCACCUAGUGAUCUCACCUUGGCACCUUAACAAGUUUGCCAAUAGGUGCUAGGUCUUCCAGACCUUUAACUUGUUAACUACGACCCCGGGGGCAUCCCCCACACUUGGCGGUGCGCCCAAGCCAGCCCUUCCGGCCAAGGGUUCAUAGCAACUGAGAUUAGGUGUCCCCAUCUCACUCACCACGACCUUGGUGCCACUUGCACCAAAGCGUUCAAGUUAGAUAUGCCGAGCUUUCACACUAAGCAAUCUAACCGUGCAUCACGACUCCGAGGCAUCCUUCGCUUGGCGGUGUGCCCAAACCAGUCUCCCCACUGAGAGUCCAUGACCACCGAAAUAUGAGUGUCCUCAUAUUCCAAACCAUCACCACGCCCUAGUGAUUUGGGACUCGAACCCAAGCACUAGAGGGUCGGGACUCGAACCCAACCUCCGUAUAUGCAUCUACGGACGGCAUCACACUAGAUGCCUGGUGUGACUCCCCACGCCGGUGCACCAACCUAUUUUUAAAGCGCGCUAUAGAUCACAGCUUAGGAACCUAGUUCCUCCACAUUGCCAAGUCCUCUCACUUGACAUGUCUGUGAUCAUGCAUGGACUCCUCCAUGCUUGGCCCCAUGGCCCACCCUUUUUGAAGUUAUCACCUCAACUAGGGUAUUUGUUCCCCCGACGUGCCAAUCUUGCUUGGCAAGUCCUCCGACCACUGUAACAUGGUUCCUGCAUAAGCGUGAAAGUCCUUGACCAUCGACUUUCGUUCAAAGCCCUCUCUUUGAACACUCGGGAACUACUUCCCUAACCUUGAUAGCCUUGCCUCAUGGCAAGCUUCAAGACCACGCUUCUGCUGCGCCACUCUGAUUUCGCGCAUUCCAUGAACCAUUUACACUUGGCCUUUCUAGGUACUACGCUACCUAGAAUCGUCUUUGGGAACCUUGAAGGAACUCUGUCCCUCAGCUUGCUAAGGCCUCCCCUUUCGCAAGCUUUAUAGUUGCCAUAUAGUCUAACAUGGACAAUUCCAUAUUUUAGACUCUCCAUGGCAUCACGGUUGCUAGCAACAACAUCCUCGAGCACCCUCUUGAUUCUCCACUCCCAACUUUCAUAACCACUGUUGGAUAUGCCCUUUGAUUUCUAUGGUUCAGUUCCAUCCCAAUACUACUUGCCUUUGGCUUCACACCUUUCCUUCGGUCAUUCUCCUCCAGACCAGGAGGAUAGCUUUGCACUUUCUAUCAUGCCUUAGCAAGUAUUCUUAGGGAUGAACCUACCCAAUAGCCCAGGGAGUGGUUCCUCAAUCCGGGUAUGCUCAGCUUAUAAUCCCACACACUAGGAUUACAUUGUUGCUUAUGGGCCUUUACAUGCCCAUCACUAGCCUUGCCAAAAUUCCAUUUUUGGCUUUGUCCAACUUGGGUAGACAGUCCUCUCCUGUCUCCGCAACCUUGGACAUUUGGAUAGCACCUUCUAUCCAUCAUUCGCUAGGGACUUAGUCCCUUGGGCUUUAUCCAUUGCCCUCGCGACAUCAAACACCACCUUCUAGUGUUCUAGAGUGUCCGGGUGUCCCAAUGAUGGCUUUCUUGACAAUGAGUAUUUCCUUUUAUGACAUUGACUUACUAUAUCGCAACACAAGCAACUUAUCCCCCGUAAGGGUAUAUCCAACUUCCUUAUGCUACUAAGAAGUCUUGGGUAGCUACCUUCUACCCGUUUAACCAGUUAUUUUGCACCUCUUGCUUAGUUGCCUCAUAGUUGUCAAGUCCUACAACUCAUUGCUUGGUGCUUUCACACCUCCAUCAUUAUUUGGGUCACCACACUCCAACUGCAUGCUCUGCAGCUUAGGCUAUGCCAUUCCCAUUUCCGUUGGGAUUCCUUUGGCAAGGGGUUCUCAUGAACCCACCAACAUAGCCUCAAGUUAUCACACCUCGGCACAUUUGGUGUCUCCACAUCAUCGGCUCCACGAGCCUACCUCUAUGACAUUUCCCCUUCGUGUCUAAGUCUUUGCCAAGACCAACACCGCUCUUUCUCAUGCCAACCAUCUGUUAGCACUGCCCCAUAGAGGUCACACACAACUUUAUGUCAAAGUUGUUUUCUUCUGGGAACACCUUUCCCAUAACUUUAGCAUGGCAUAUUUUGCCAUCGAUGAGAUACCCUCUGUUCUCAUCCUUGGAUCUUAUGAUCCCCCCCCCAUCCUUUGUGGGGUACAACACACCUCAGUCCAAAUGCUUCCAUCAGUCCUUUUAGAACCAUCCCUUGACUCUACUUGAGUCAUCCAGCAGUUUUGGACUUGGUUGAUCCACAGACCCGUAAGGUCCUACUUGUGAGGCACUAGCUCACUGGAAUACACUUCUUGCAUUCCUGUCCUACUCAAAAGGGCUAUUUUCACAAGUGUUACUCCGACACUUGAUUUUGUUCUCUGGGGGCAACUUUUGCCCCUUAGGACUACUUGUCCAUGCGAUGGGAAUACCACUCAUCUCUAAGUACACCCCCCAACUCCUUGGGUUGUUCCAGCAUUUAUUAAAGGUAGCCCCGGCUACCAUUUCAAGGACUUGAGUCCUCUCCCGUAUUUGACCUUCCACGGUCAUUACCUUUGGUCUCACAUUCAUGAGCACCAACCUCAACUAUAUGAGGAUAAUCUUGUGACUCCUUUAUUGUUUUGGAGUCUCUAUCUUUCCCGUGAUCCCAACUUUAGUUGUUUACCACAACAACCUUAGCCAAUUUGCUGAGACAAAUGCUCAUCCGGAUCACAUCCUCAACUCAAUGAGGAAAACCUUGCACUGUUCCCAAGAUCCCAAAGUCGUUCCAUUAUUGGCCCUUUUCUAUCCACCACCUCGUCUACAAGUUCACACAUGAACUGUAAUGGAGAGCCAUGUCUUCCCGACUUGCUACUCCUCAAGGAUAGGCCCACUCCUCGGACCUUCCGAUGCCAACACUAGUGGUGAUAUAUUUGAGCACCAAUAAAAGUCGGACUAAGGAACAGCUCCGAUACCAAAUUGUAAGCAACUAAAUUUUCCAUUCUACUUUAGUCACUUAACCACACCUCUGACCACUUGGAGGAGUCUCAUUCACAACCUCCAUAAGUCCAAUCCAGGACUUGGGACUUGCUAGCCCCGAGAAUGGCAUCUAUGCCACUCAACAUUUGCACUUGGUCCAAGUGCUCCACGUGUCCGAUCCCAUGACCGACACUCAAAGGUACCACCGACAUAGCAGCCCGUUACGCUAAGGCCAUGCCCAAUCACCUUUGCCACACUGGUAGUCCAAUACCACUUGCAUCACAGUCUUGGCUCUCCAAGACUGGGCCAUUUGUCCACGAGUGGUCAUCCUAGAUCCACUCCUUAGCAUCCUUAGGAUGCCCACAAACCGGGGGAAUCGCCUUCCCCAAAGUCCCUUUGUCAGUUCCUACCAAGUCCCUUUCUGCCCCUGGCCGUGUUUGCCAACACUGCCACUGGAUCGAGGCCCACAAGCCCGACCACUAAGUCCCACGGUCCUCUGGGACUUCCUCACCACACGACUGUGUCCUUGGUCACUACCCCAGAGGACUGCUCCUCUUCCUUUCCACAGUCUAGGCCUUUGGGACAACAUUUCGGAACACCGUGGCCUUACGCGAGCCACCUGGGUACUCUCCCCGCCUUUCACCUUUAGGUGCUCUAGCCAUGGGCUUAGAGCGAGGUUUCGUUGAGCCACGCCUGGUAUCCAAGUAGGUAGUGCCACCCACACUUGGACUGGGAGCAUCGGCCAGUCGAUCUCCCGGGGGAACUAGAGCCGGCUCUUGAACACUUCACCAAGCUACCCUGCUUGUCGGUCCGUGUUCACUCUAGUCUUGGACUUCCCAGUGGGCAGCUCAUCACCCAACACUGGGUCCGGCCUUCCUGGGCCAAACUGGCCUUUCCUGGCCAAACUGGCUCCACUGCAGUCCUCCCCCUACUAUACUUUUGGAGCUCACCAAACCCCCCAGGGUCUGGGAGACGAACGCUUUGGGCUUUCACCCUCUCAGGCUCCGGACUCGGACUCGGACUCGGACUCGGAUUCGGACUCGGACUCGGGCUCGGGCUCGGUCUCGGCCUCGGCCUCGGUCUCAGCCUCGGCCUCGGUCUCGGUCUCGGUCCCGAUCUCGGUCUCGGUCUCGGUCUCGGUCCCGGUCUCGGUCCCGGUCUCGGUCUCGACUUCGGACUCCAUCUCGGACUCCAUCUCGGACUCCAUCUCGGACUCCAUCUCGGGUCCAUCUCGGGUCCAUCUCGGACUCCAUCUCGGACUCCAUCUCGGACUCCAUCUCGGGUCCAUCUCGGACUCCAUUUCGGGUCCAUCUCGGACUCCAUCUCGGACUCCAUUUCGGGUCCAUCUCGGGUCCACCUCGGACUCCAUCUUGGACUCCAUUUCGGGUCCAUCUCGGGUCCACCUCGGACUCCAUCUCGAGUCCAUCUCGGACUCCACUUCGGACUCCAACUCGGGUCCAUCUCAGACUCCACUUCAGACUCCAACUCGAGUCCAUCUCGGACACUUCCACGUGUCAUGUGUUGGUCCUUUUGGGUCCCUUUUUGGAGCCUCGCUUUUUGCUCGCUUCGUGCUCGUUCCUCAAGCACUUCUUUGGGAGUUCCACUCCCACUCUUGACUUUUCAAGUCGGAGCUUUUGGUCCAAACGUGUUACGCUCGUUUGGCUCUCACUUCAGCCACUACCACGUGGCACCCUUUCCGGCUCCACUUUGGGGCCCAGGGAUUUUGUGUCUCACAGCUAUAGCCUAUAGGAGCUGCGUGUGUACCGAGCUCUACAGGGCAACACUCUCCAGUCGGUCGGCCUCUGCUUUCGAUUGAGCGUGGAGCAGUUCACUGGGGCCUCACAAAUUGCUUAGUCCGCGACGCUUGAAAUUUUUGCCAUAAAAUGGAAAUUACGAUUCCAGUGAUUUCAGAGAUUUGAUUCUAGCAAUUCUAGCAAUUCUGGCACAAUUGAGCAAUGGUGCCUAAUUGGGCAUGGUCCCAUGUUACCAAGCUCACUCCUUAUGCUUCCGGCAAAAAAGCUGGGUGUUGGAAAUGUAAUUAUUGUGGAAAAAUGUAUGGUAGUCUGCCAAAAUGAAUCAAGGUGCAUUUCACUAAAAUUUUUAGGUAUGAUAUUGAAGUAUGUAAUGUUUUAAAUGUUCCUCUUCAUGUUCAGAACUAAGUUUGCCGAAUGUUUGUGGAGCAAAUCACAAAUGCCCUUUUGUCUUUACCUUCUAUAGCAAAUCUAUAGAGUAAGCAUUUUGAUGGGGCAUCUGUUUUUGGAACUGGUACACAAAAUAUUAAUCAAUCUUAGUCUAUAAGUGCUUCUAUAGGCCAUGAGGGAUCAUCUGCUUUGGUUUUCCUACUUUUAUUAAUGUAAUUUUAUUAGAAAUGUUUUUUUUUAUCAAAAAUUUUUUGUGAACCGUUCGGCCAUUCAGCAUUUUCACAGCCGGUCAAUAACUACGGUCAGCCGGUCGGCCAGUCGGCGGUCAGAACAGUCAGGACCAACCAUGUUUGGAGCUGGUACACAAAGUGUUAAUCAAUCUCAGCCUAUGAGUGCUUCUAUAGGCUAUGAGGGAUCAUCUGCUUUGGUUUUUCUACUUUUAUUAAUAUAGUUUUAUUAAAAAUGUUUUUUUUUAUCAAAAAUUUUUUGUGAACUGUUCAGCCGUUCGACAUUUUCACAGCCGGUCGAUAACCACAGUCAGCCGAUCAGCCGGUUUGCGUUCAGAAUGGUCGGGACCAACCAUGAUCUUGGCAUUGGGGAGCAAGGCAAUGGUGUCGAAAUGGAUGCAGCCGAGCUCCUCAAUCAGCUCGUCCCAAGUGCAAGCCAUCCUGUAGUUGACAGGGAGGGGAUGGAAAACCUCUUCACGUCGAGACGAAGGCGAGAGCUGGAGGGAGAGCUCUGCGGGAUCCAAGCCGCCUAAACAUUGGCAAUGGCAAGCAGAUCCAUCUUAUCAUUGCAAAGAGGAAGACGGAUAUCCGUUGUAUCGGAUUUAUAACCACUUGUAAAGCCCUAAAUUUGCAGAGAUAAUCUAAACUGUUCAAAUCUAAUGGUUUAGAUAAAAGGGGAGUUAAAACAAUUCUCUUUAAAUGGUAAAAUGGUUAUUUCUUUGAGAUACAUUAUUUAUAUAUUAACAUUAACUUAUAAAUGAACAUGGGACUAUUAUUCCCAAUGGAAGAUGCAACAUUAAUCUACAAGAGCUAAACUAGUGUAUGUGGAUCCAAUGCACAAAUUAUGCAAACAACAAAUCAAGUUACCAAAAAUAAUACACUAGUUCUAUAAAGUUAAUAAAAUAUAAAUAUUUAAAAUUAAAUAGUGAUAAAUAUUAAUUUACACUUUGUGAGAUUUAUGAUACCAUAUACUAAUUAGCAUACCUAUAUCUUUGUAUUAGGCCACUGGUAUAUCAAAAUAGUAUCAAACUUAGUUGUAAGGAACCAACUCCCCAAAGUAUUGUAGCUAAAGGAUCCCUGAAAACAUGACCAAAAUGAUAAAGAGUUCAUCCAAUGAGACCGAGUCUGAGAUCAAGUCCAAGACCGACUCUGAGACCGAGUUUAAGACCAAGUUCGAGAUUGAGUCUGAGACCAAUUCUGAGUCUGAGUUUGAGACCGAGUUUGAGACCGAGUUCGAGACCAAGUCCGAGAUCUGAGAUCUGGUCUGAGGCUGAGUCUGAGAUCGAGUAUGAGAUAGAGUUUGAGGUUAGGUCUGAGAUCAAGUUUGAGGUCAGGUCCAAGAUCGAGUUUGAGACCGAGUUUGAGGUCGAAUCUAAGGUCAAGUUCGAGAUUAAGUUCGAGACCGAGUCCGAAUACUAAUAUAAGUGGUGAGGUGAAAGCCCAAAGCGUGUGUCUCCCGGGGGGGGCUGCAAGGGGUUCCAAAAGUAUAGUAGAGAUAGUGAGGUCUAGGAACCAAUCUUGAAAUCUUGAAGGAACUCUCUAAUAGUGCUUCCAAAUUGACUUCAGGUUGAUGGGGCCCCUUUAAUUUGGAGCCCAAUCCCAACCCCUUUGGGGGGGCCCAACCGGGGGGAAAAAAAGGGGGGCACAAACCCCCCAAAAAACCAAAAAAAUUUUUCCGGGGGGGGGAAAAGCCUUCCCCCCCUUUUUUUUUCAAACAUUUGGGGAACCCCCCCCCCCCCCCCCCCCCCCCCCCCCCCCCCCGAGGAACACAUGCUUUGGGCUUUCACCUCAAGCCUCCCUUAGUACCAAGAGUUAGUCUCUGGGACAAGCUUGAAACUUACUAAAUAUGGAAUAUCCUUAGAUUGCAAAUUUGGACAUGGGACGAACACCAUUGUAUUCAGGCCAAUCUCUACAUUCCAUAGAUAUGCCAAAUGAGCAAAUCUAGACACUUUCCAUAAAUAGCAUUUGGGACUGAAAUGAGACUAACACAAAAGGAAUGAUAGUGAGGGUGUUUGGCAAACACAGUAAGCUAUCAUCCAAUGAUAUUGAGGGACUAGUCUCAAUACGCGAGGGUUCUUGCCAAGCUAGUGCAAAACAGAACAAAAGAGAACUAAGAGCAAGGCUGAGAAUGCUCAGCUAGAAACACAUAGGAGUUCCUACCUUAUGUUCAUCUGGCUAAGUACAAAUGCUAAGCCCAGUAAACUAACACUUGGACAAAAGGGGCUAUUGAAGAAAACUAGCAAUACCGACCUCCUGCCAUCAUGGCAAUAAGGAAAGAAUGCCCGUAAGGACUAGCCAACAAGUAUCUUUCAAUACCCGAAGUUACAUUUGCGACAGUUGAGACUAGGACUUAGAGGCCUUACGUAGGAGUGAGCAUAGACUCAGGUGGUGCCAGAGGGGCCACCCAAAGAAAUGCUCAACAAUAGCUCCCAUUCCCAAAAGGGAAACUGACUACGGUGCUCUAGGCUCAUGUGGAAUGGUGCCCCACUUGAGUACCUUGUGACUCAUUGGUCCUCGCGCUUAGGCCUUCUAUUUGAGAUGGAAGUGGGGGAGCAGAGGUACCCAUAUCUGGCUAUUAGGCCACGGUGUCUCCCCCCGAUACCCUAAAGCAAGUGUUGCACCCAAAGUUUGAGAUUUAGAGGGUUCUAUGAUCAAGUCUUGUUAUAUCAAGGGAUGUUAAGAACCUGGAGGCUUGGUGUGCUUGGUUGCUUAUGCCUACGGAGAGUGUAACUAAAUCUUAAGUCCAAUCUAACCCGAGGAGGGGGAUUGGGAGAGAUUUGGGAAUCCAUGAAUGGAUGGCUAAUGCUCCAUUGCUCAUGUAGUGAGUAGCUAAAACUAAGAAAGACCAAGUAGGAGCUAGUACAAUAGGUAGGAACAUUAGUAAGGGAACUUAGCUAAGGCCAAGAUAGUGUCGGUCGAAUAGACAAGGUAAGCUAACAAAUUGAAAAAGAAAAAUUUGUGGCUUACAAUUUUGUAUCAGAACCUUUUCCUUAGUUCUAGCGAAGGAUAAAGGUAGAUUGCUAGGAAAUGGCAAAGGCAGGGUGUAAAAGAACCAAGGUAGAGAUGGAACCUCCUCCAGAGCUGGAACCUCCGAUUGAACAAAAAGCUAUGAAUGAAGAAUCCUUGCAUGAGGAGGACUCUAAUGAGGAAGCUUCCAAACAGGAGUCCGAUAGUGAGGUUCAAUCAUUCAAUGCUCAAUUGGAUGUUCUAGAAGGACAAUUCACACAGACAAAUGCCUUGUUGGAGACUCUUGUACGCAAGUUAAAGCAUGACGAGAAGUGAAAGAAAAAGAAAAAUAUUACAAAUGCUGGCAACGUAGAAGGCAUGGACCCUUGGGCAGGGACUGAGGCAAAAUCGAACAAGAUCAAACAAACUAAACUGGAAUUAGUUCCUCAAGCAGUUCCUAAGUACAAACCAAAGCCCCCACCGGUCUUCAAGGGAGUGAACGAGUAUAAGGUGGUGGAGGAUUGGUUUAUGAUAUGGAGGAUUACUUUCGAGCAUUGUAGUUACCGAGCUCAGAGAAAGUCCCAUAUGCUAAACCAUACAUGGCAGAUAAUGUUAAGUCUUAGUGGAGAAUAACAAAGGCCAACAAAGGACUGGUGGCCACUUAUGAAAUGAUGAAGGCGAGAAUCUAUGCAACUUAUGUUCCUCCAAAUGCUACUCUGCACCUAAGGGAUGAAAAGAGUAGGUUGAAGCAGACUAGAACCAUUCAAGAGUAUGUGAAUGUGUUUAUGGCAAAGAGGAUACUUGUCACAAACAUGGGUCAUAUGGAUGCAUUCCAUGCUUUCAUAUUAGGCUUGCAGACCUAAGCUCGAAACGAGGCAAUGCGUUGGAACUUGACUAACUACAAGGAAGCAUUGAAUGCAACUAUUAAGGUGCAUUUCAAUAAUAACCUGCGAAAGGGGAACACAACGGGGUUGGGAUCCACAUUUAGCAAAGGAACUAAACUAAGGGGGACAUAUGGCAAAGGGAAAUUCAAGAAGAGUUUCUCUAAGAAUGAGUCCUCAAGGUUUUGGAAAGGCAGAUCUAGUAGCUAUUAAGCAAGUAUAUAGAGGAGUCAAACAAAAAGGGACAACCCCAUGGAUAAUAAAAUCAAAUCAGCUAGUAGCAUGGGAAACAACAUAUACUUUAACUGCAAUGAAGCAGGACACUUUUUGAGAGAAUGUCCUUACCCGAAGAAGGCCAAAGUCAAUAUGGCUAUUAAGUCAAGUGAAAACAAAAUUGAGGUACGUGAUCCAGUCUCUAGCUCAAAGUUACUCAUUACAUGAGCAACUUUGGUAGAGAGUUAUUCGCGACAUCUAUUAGCCCUUCAAGGGAAGCUCGGAAGUAACUUUGUUAAAAUCCUUAUUGACAUAAGUGUUUUAGAUAAUUUUGUAGCUGCAGACAUAGCCCAGCAAGCUGGACUAAUGGUGCAAUAGCUAUAUGAAAGAACUAUAGAGUUUUUUCAAGGUAGCCAAAUCACCGAUGAAGUACUUCGACAAACAAGAGUCAAAGUAGGGACAUGGAAAGUAAACAUGGAUUUCACCGUAUUGGACAUGGGGGGAUUUGACAUGAUCUUUAGGAUGCAUUAGUUUAAUCAGUUUGUGGUAGCCUUGCAUGGACAAGAUAGGAACCUUGUGGUAUUGGUGAAUGCCUGGGGAGAACGAUCUAGGGUGGAGGCCCAAGAUCAAAGAUAGGGCAAUGUAAGGCCAAAGACUCCUGCUUGAAUCUGAUGUCCACGAGAGGACAACUCACUAAAAGAACCAAAGUAGCAUUUUUGUGCUUACUCUCAGUGAAGAGUGACAAAAAGAUAGAAACAUAAAAAGUACCUUUAGUGAUUUAGCAGGUGUUGGACCAAUUUCAAAAUACCAUGUCGGAGGACUUAUUGGCAGGGUUACCCCCCGAUAAUCGAUAGAACAUAAAAUUGAGUUAGUCGAGGGUAUUAAGGCGAUGGUUCAUCCCCCCUAUCAUUUGAACGAAAAGGAACUCAAGGAGCUCAAGUGCCAAUUAAAAGAGUUGGUGAAUAAAGGGUAUAUUAGGUUGAACAAGUUGUUAUAUAGGGCGUUAGUGUUAUUUGUGAAAAAGAAAGAUGGAUCUAUGCACAUGUGCAUAGAUCACCGGUUGCUCAAUAGGUGUACAAAGAAGAACAAGUACCCUUUAUCAAUGAUUGAGGACCUAUUUGAUAAGUUGGGAAAGGCAAAAUACUUCUCGAGGAUUGACCUAAGGUUAGGAUACUACCAGAUCAAGGUAGCAAAGGAAGAUGUCGAGAAGACAACCUGUCAGACAAAAUAUGGGAGUUUUGAGUUUCUAGUGAUGCCCUUUAGGCUGUGCAAUGCGCUAGCAAUGUUUUCAGUGCUGAUGAACCAUAUUUUUGUACCCUAUCUGGAUCACUUCAUGGUUGUUUAUAUUGAUGACAUCCUAAUUUAUAACGAAACGCUAAAGGAGCAUGCCGAACAUUUGACAAAGGUGUUUAAAAAACUAAGGGAAUAUAAAUUGUAUGCUAAAGAGAGCACAUGUGACUUUGCUCAACAAGAGGUAAAGUUUCUCGGGCAUGUGGUGGGUAAGAACGGGCUUAAGGUGGACCCUGAAAAGGUCUAUGCAAUCCAAGAAUGGGAGUGACUAUUGAAUAUACAUGAGUUAAGCGCAUUUUUAGGGCUAUGCAACUACUACUGAAAAUUUAUCAAAUACUAUUCGAGAGUACCCCUACCUUUAACGAACGAAACAAAAAAAGGGAAGAUGGUAUGGACAGUGAAAUGCCAUCUCACAUUUGUCCACCUCAAAGGGAAGUUGAGGAAGACUCCCAUGUUGGCAUUACCAGACUUUGGUAAGGACUUUGAGGUAGAAACAAACACUUUAGACUUUGCGUUAGGCAUAGGUUUGAAACAAGAUAACCAUCCGGUGACAUUCUUCUCAAAGAAGUUGGACAAAGCUCAGCGAAAGUGGCCUGCCCACGAGAAGGAAUUAUUUGCAGUGGUCAAGGCACUCAAAGAGUGGCGACACUACCUUAGGAGACACUUUAAAGUUUACACAGAUAAUGUGGCAAGAAAACACUUGUUGUCACAGCUCGACCUAAAAGGAAAACAAAGUCGGUGGGUCAAUGCUUUGGCUGAGUUCAAUUGUGAGAUUCUGUAUAAACUUGGGAAGAGUCAAAAAGCAAGUUUAAAGUUGGCGAUAUCUAGCAUGAUAGCAACCUUUUGGGAUAAUGUACAGAUAGCAUAUGAGAAUGAUUGUCUAGCACAAGAAGUGUUGCUAAGGAACCAAGAGGCACAGGAUGCUCACCAAAAAGGUGAGUUGCGGACAAAAGAAAAAAUAGGUUAUGCAAAAUGCAAUGGACUCAUCUAUUAUAAACAAAUGAGGGUGUAUGUUCCAAAAGGGGAACUACGGAAGGUAGCAUUAGAAGAGUGUCAUGAUAAACCUCUUGCGGGAUAUGGUGGAGUGCCCAAGACGAUGGGCUUACUCAAGAGGAAGUAUCACUGGCUAGACAUGGCUAAAGACGUCCAAGACUAUGUAAAGAUAUGUCCAACAUAUCAAUAAGUCAAAGCCAUGACUAAGACUAGUGGGGGCUUGUUACAAAGCAUUCUAAUUCCAGAUUGUCCGUGAAAAUAUCUUACAAUGGACUUCAUCACGAAACUCCCUCAAAGAAAGGGGUUUGAUACGAUAUACGUAGUGGUGGAUUAGUUUUUGAAAAAUGAUACAUUUCAUACCCACCACAACAAAAGUGGAUGCAAAAGGUGUGGCAAAACUAUUCUUCGAACAAAUGGUUCGAGUGUAGGGAAGGUCAAAAGAGAUUAUCUUAGAUCGAAAUAAGAUCUUCACUAAUAAAGGCAAACUAAAUAUGCGAACCAAAAGUGCUGGAACAUAGAGUUUCAACCUAGGAAGAAGGUGUGGCUGAGUACCAAGAUCCUAAGGUUACCAAGUGGGAUCAGCUAGAAGUUGACCCAAAGGUAAAAAUGUAUGUAUUCCUAAAAAUGAAUUAACCUUGAGUUCCUUAAACAAGUUCACAGGGCCUUACGAGAUUGAGGCUCAAAUUGGUAAAGUGGCUUACCACCUCUAACUUCCUCAAAAGAUGGGGAAUAUGCACUAUAUGUUCCAUGUGAACUUACUCAAGUUAUACUUUGAGGAUCUGUUUCACAAAGACCAAGUAAGACCUUUACCUGAGGUUAUCCAAGAGGAAGAGGAAUACGAAAUCGAGCCCAUCCUCAAUGCAUGCAAAAACAAGUGACAAGGACGUGAAGUGAGGGAGUUCUAUGUGAAGUGGAAAGGAUUUCUACACUGCGAAACAACAUGGGAACCAAAGGAGAACUUAGCGAACGUGCAAAAUCUAGUGGAGGAAUUUUUGCAACGUAUAACUCUAUACACUUAUGUAAAGUUCAAUUAAAGCAUUAAUUUGUGAAGUUUAGCAAUGGCAUAUGUUAAGACCCGAAGGCAUGCCAAAGGUAAGCUAAUUAGUAUAGGUUAGCUAAGUCAACCAGGCGUAAGGAACUAUGCCCGACUCCCCACAGGAAUGUCAAAUCCAUAAGCGUAUUUUACAGAGGUUGGGUUUGAAUCCCAACCCCCUAGUAAAGCAAGGCUAGGUUCAAAUCCCAACUCUAUACUAGAGCGUGGUGAGGUGAGGGGUAUAGGGAUAUCUAUAUUCUAUUGUUAUAGGCUCUUGGCCAGGGAGGCUAACUUAGGCAUACCACUAAGUGGGGAGAUGCCCCUAGAGACAUGGUCAACAAGUCAUAAGAUUAAAAAGAGAUGUUUGAUGUAGGCAUUGAACUUCUUCUAUGGGUGGUGGAGUUGUAAGGAACCAACUCCCCGAGGUGUCGUAGGCUAAAGGAUCCUCAAAAGCACAACCAAAAUGAUAAAUAAUUCAUUGGAUGAAACCGACUCUGAGACCAAGUUCGAGACCAAGUCCGAGAUCAAGUUCGAGACCAAGUCUGAAACUGAGUUCGAGAUUGAGUCUGAGAUCUAAGAUGGUCCAAGACCAAGUCCGAGAUCGAAUCUAAGACAAAGUUUGAGGUCGGGUCUGAGAUCAAGUCUAAGAUCGAGUUCAAGACCGAGUCUGAGGUCAAGUCCAAGGUCGAGUCUGAGACCAAGUCCGAAUACUAAUACAAGUUGUGGGAUGAAAGCCCAAAUCUAUAAGCAACCAAAAGGAACGACUCGAGAGACAAUUUAUAGGGUUCAAAUAUAAAGGGAAAAAGCCCAUAAACAAGAGUGCACCCUUUUUUCCAAUCGGUUAAGGGUUUUGGGAUAUUUGGGGUUAAGUGUCUUUGAGUUUGAAUAGUACUAAACUAGGCAACCUCCCAAGAAGUCCAAACUCAAGAACUUACAAAAGCAUGUGUCUCCCGGGGGGGGAGGUUCCACAAGUAUAGUAAGGAUAGUGAGGUUUAGGAACCAAUCUUAAAAGAACUCUCUAGUGGUUCUUCUAAAUUGACUUGAGGUUGAGACUGGGGUUUAGGGGCCUUGGGUGGGAGUGAGCAUGGACUCAGGUGGUGCUGGAGGGGCCAUCCAAACAAGUGCUCAAGAUCAACUCCCACUUCUGAAAGGGAAAUCGACCACAGUGCUCCUUCUUAGGGGUUAGGCCUUCCCUUCGGGAUAGAAGUGGGGGAGUAGAGGUAGCGAUACCAAGCCGUUAGGCUAUAGUGUUUCCCCCCAGUGCCCCGAAGCAAGUGUUGCACCUAAGGUUUAGAAUUUAUAAGGUCCUAUGAUCAAGUCUUGUUGUACCAAGGGAUAUUAGGAAUCUGGAGGCUCGGUGUGUUUGGCUACUUGUGCUUGCGGAGAGUGUAGCCAAACUUUAAGUCCAGUCUAACCUGGGGAGGGGGGUUGGGAGAGAUUUAGGAAUCCAUAGAUGGAUGGCUAACACUCCAUUGCUUAUGCAAUAAGUAGCUAAAACCAAGUAAGACUAAGUAAGAGUUGGUAUAAUAGGUGGGAACUUUAGGGAGGGAACUUAACUAAGGCUAAGGCAGUGUUAGUCAGAUAAACGAGGUAAAUUAGCAAUUUGGAAAGGAAAAAUUUGUGGGUUACAUUAGUUUGGCUUCAUUUUGCAUAUUAGUAUUAGCAUUAAGAUUUUGGAAGCUUUAAGAUUAUUCUAAUGUUACUUCAUACUUUUAUUCCUUCACUGUUAAGCUAUAUGUUCAAGAGUUCAACUCUAUUUCUUCAUUCAUUAGCUUGAGACUUUGAAACUUAGAUCCCACUCUAUUAAUCUUAGUACAUAUGUUAAAUGGUUGGAUUUCACUUUAUAUAGUAAUGCACUAUAAGGUAUAGGAUAAAAAUAUAUUAUAUUAGCACAUUGAAUAUUAUACUAGUUAAAGAAGAAUGCUAUGCUGAAAGUGAGUAAUGAUAUCGAAAGGCUUGGAGAUCUAUGAUAAAGGAAUAGAGCUAAUAUAAGGAAGAAGAGUUGACAUAUUCAAUGAAACAACCCCUAAUUAGACUAAAUGUUCUUGUUUUCUCAAACAACAAAUAUUGCAUCCAUUGUAUAAGUCUAAGAGUGAGUGCAAGCUUAUGAAAGUGAUUUGCAUUAUUAUAAUUCAUGCAAAGUUGGUUCUCAAUCUAACAUCAUUAUUUAGCCUCAGAAAUACACUAUUAACAUAAAGCUCUAAUAUGCCUUACUUAUAUACUAACAAGGGGUUUUGAGAUUAUAAUAUGGAAAAUGAAGUUAAGGAUUCAAUCUUAAAGGAACUCUCUAGUGGAGUUUCCAAACCAUAUUAGGGAUAGGACUUAGAGUUAAUAGCCUUAAGUGGGACAUAAAGGGUGCUAAAAAGGAUUUUCAAGGAAGUGCUCAAAAACAAUUAAAUAUCCCAAAAGGAAAACCAAUUACAAUGUUUCCAAUGCAGGUGGAUUAAUGCCCCAUUUGAGUAAAUUACCUUCUUAAAAGGUCUUUGGAAUGGAAAUUAGGAGUUGAGAUAUUUAUACUAGAUUAUUAUGCCACAGUGUUUCUUUUUGAGGUUUCAAAUUAAGAAAUGCACCCAAAGUUUAGGAUUUAAAGUAUCUCAUGAACAAGCCUUAUUAUACCAAGAGAUAUUAAAAACUUUGGAGGUUUGGAAUUCUUGGCUGCUUGUGCUUCUAAAAAGUGUAACCAAGCCAUAAGUCUAAUAUAAUCCAAAAAAAGGGAUUGGGAGAGAAACUUUAGAAAUCUAUGAAAAGAUAGCUAAGACCCUCUUGCCCAUAUAGCAAGUAGUUAAAGCUAAGUAAAACUAAGUAGAAUUUAGUACAAUAUCAUCUAAAGUGGAAGAUUUUGGCAUUAAUUUAUUUUCCCAAUUUUAUGGUAUAUGAUUUUUCUAAAGGGUUUCUUGUCCAAUGGAAGUGAUUAUAUCAAGUGUUCUAGCAAGUUGAAAUAUAUGUUUAUAACAUUCAAUAAGUCAAUCCUCUAAAAAUUAUGCAUAUGCAAUCUUCAUAAAGAAAAAAUUCUCUUUUGGAUGUUCUUCUAAAUCUGAACCGAUUAAUAUAAAAAGGAAAAAACAAAAGAGAAAGAAUUAAAAAAUCUAUAAAAAAUGGGAAAUCUAGACAAUACAAAAACUAUAUCUAAACCAAAAUUCCAAAUCCAAACACUUCUUAGGAACAAUUAAAGUUACCCCUUAUCUCCACCAAUGUGAUCAUAUGGAUUAUGAAAAUAAAAUAAAGAAAUAUACAUAUCAAUUAGCCAAAAACCCUAAUUUAUAUAUAGAAACAAGUGGUCCAGAUUAAAACCAAUUUAACGGAUUUCAAAAUUCCACUAUCCUAAUAUUAAUAUACAGCAUCGUAACCGUACACUUAAACCUUAUAAUUUAUUAUCUUUUGCUAGUUUUUUUUAUUUAAACACAAUUCCACCUAACUGAAUGAGCAUCAAUCACAAAUGUCAUAAUGGAGGCCCAGAAUCUUGGCAAUGGUGAGGGCCAAGCAUGCAGAUGUCAUUGGAUGUGGUGUUAGGGGGCUCCCAAUACAGCCACUUCAUUGGAGAUGGAUUGCCUAGCGAAAAGAGAAAGAUUGAGGCCUUGGAUCUCAAUGGCAUUCUAUUUGCUACACAAGAAGGCUAAGCCUCAGCCAUAUUGGAGUGACAUUUGCGUUCUUCCCUGCACUCUAGAUUCUCCACUCUUAUGUAACUUCUUUUUUUGAUUCGGAAAAAAAUAAAUAAAACUUAACCACCAUUUCCAUGUCAGAAGGGAGCUCAAAUGUGUGGUAUAAUUGUUGUCAAGCCUUAUUAUUAACAUUCUUUUUUUCUUGGUAAGUACCCAAUUCCAUCAAUGGUUUCAACUAACACCUGAAGUGUGAAUAUGACAAAGUGGUGACAGAGGUGAUUGAGCCAAGCAUAUGUUUUCAAUCAGACUUGAGGCUUUCACCUGGGCUUGUAGGAUACUUUACUCUCAGAUGUUACCACCACUUGUUGGAGAUAACCUCGCCUUAGUACUACUGGUGGUCUUUGUAAGUUAGUCAUUAAUAUUUAGUGUUGAAUUGACCCAGAUAUAUAGUCACAUUCGCACAGGUAGCUCAUAGCUUCGGGCUGACCAAUGAAGGUUCUGGCUGGAACGUAAAGGUUGGGAGUAUUCCCUCGCAAGCAUCUCACACAACACUAAGCUCUUCUCCUUCAGAGACUUUCUUGGUAGGAGAGCUUUGUCAUCUAGGAAGCAGUGCAAGAGGAAAUUUCCUUCACUUCAGUGAACCUCCUCUAGUUUCUCUAUAGGGAUUCUGCCCGCUUGGAAGUUACCAUGAUGCCAAGUAUACCAAGUUCUGCAUGAAUUUCAUGGACUUUAUGAUGAUAAAUCUCGAGAGUUUGGAGACCAGGCUGCUUCCAUGGAACUGUGAGGAGAACCUCAACCUGUUUAGAAGGAUGCUUAAGGAGUAAAUCAAGUUCUAUAAUUUAUCUUUGUUUUUUCCUUAUCUUGUUUCUUUAGGAAUGGGCAAAGAGGUGAUCAGAGGAUUCAAAUUAUAAUAGUAUGAGAAGAUGAUGAAACAUAGAGUGACUUCCAUAGCCACAAGCUUCACACCUCAAAGUUGCAGCAGCACAGGAACGCAUUGGAAUUGAAUGAAGCUCUCGUCCUUUUGUCGCCUUGCAAAUUGACACACUUCUGGACUGCGAAAAGGAGCUUGUAGGUUGAUAACUUAGAAUAAGUUUAAUUAGCUGUUAUCUCUUUUAAAACUUCUUAAUUUGCAAAGCAAGACAUUGUUCAUUCAUAAAAUCAAAUGAAUUAUUUUGUGGUGAUCCAACGAAACCAUGAAAUAAUAGACUCUAACUUGCUUAGUUCUUGAUGCAGUGGUCCUUGCUCCAUUUCCAGCCAAACUGGCAUUGGUGGCACUCGUUGUUGUACCAGUACCAAUUGGUCAGGCAACUCACGCAUUUGCUUCCACUCCACUUCCAUCUGGAGAGGCAUUGGUGGCAAUCGUUGUUAUACCAGUACCAUCCUUUGGGACACUGGAUGCACUUCUGGCCGUCCCAGUUCCAUCCAGAUUUGCAUCGCUUCUGGGCUGUUGCGUUGGUGAUGCCACCGACAUUCUCUCCAACCAGGAGGGCUGUCACAAACAUGGCCAGAAGCAUCAGCUGAGUCCAAGUGAAGACUGCUAUGCACACGGAGUUUACUGCUUCUCCAGCGCGACAUGCCGUGUUUGUGUUUGACUGACGGGGUCAAUUGACUGGUGUACAUGCCGACUAUAUCCAAAUGAAACAGUCUCGAAGUCCCGUGAAAUGAUCGAAAAUAUCUCAUUAUGAUUGAUCAUUACUUCACAUGGAUAUGGAUUUAUUUGCUAACUGGACAUACGUAUUCCAAGAUAUGAUAAUAUUUUCUAAAGAUUGACACGCUUAUAUGUGUGUAUGCAUGAGGCCUAUCAACAUCUAAAGUAUUAUUUUGUGAUACUUACAAACCUUUAAUAAAUUCAAUAUUAGAGGAAGAAGUAUCAUAUGAUGCUUCUACAUGUAGAAAAAAAAGGAAGUCAGAUCCACUUAAAUCACUUAGCUAGAAAAUGUCAAACUGAAGAAUAUGUCAAAACUGAAUCAUCACUUAUUUUGUUAUCACAGUUUUUAUUUUUAUUUUUUAAUUUGUUUUUUAAUUUUUGGGGGGGGGGUCCAAUGUAAUGGAUGUAACCUCAAUCAUAAGCAUAAGUUGACUUACUGGUGGAGCACGAGAGCAGGAAUAUGUCAGAAUCUUCAAUUUAGAUAAUCUGAGCCCAUGCUAUAUACAAGGUCUGGCAGCGCCCUCAAGAAAGAAGCAUGAGACCAAAGGAUUUCAAAAACAUCAAGAUGAAAUGUAUUGUGGUUUUGGUCUCACUUGUCCUUGCUUCCUUAAUAUGCAUCAACGUUUGGGUUCCAAGAAUGAUAAAAUCAUCGUCAUCUCCCGGUUAUUACUUUCCUGAUCUCGCACAAGAUCACGGUUCUACCUGCUGGGAGGUGAGUUACUACGCUAUAAACAACGAUCCAUUCUACAAGUGGGCAAUUGGCUCCUCACUUCCAAUGGCACUUAAGCUCGACGAGAAAGGCACUCUUGGCUACCAGCGGGCAAGUGUAUGGAGAAUCUCUGGAAUGAAAGAUGCCCGAUCAAAUGGUACAAGCAUGUUCAACUCUCCAGAUCCCCACGUUCUAGGAGGAGUCUUUCACCGUGUAAGUAAAGGUUUGGCUUGGGAGAUGUCUAUCAACUGGGGGAUGAGUGUUCGACUCUGCAUCACUUUGCCCAGAAUGACUGGCGACCCGUGUCUCUUCACUGCUCCUGUAGUUUGGACAAACAAGCUCCAUGCAAAUGGUACGGGCUCUUAUGCGGUCCUCAUGGUGGGCGUUCCGUACAGAAAGGCUUCGUCACACAUGUUUUCGGUUAGCAGCAGCUCCCUGUAUUUGCCCUGGGGAGAUUACUUGACCAACUUUGCAAGUAACGCUAGAACUCAACUUGGGCUCACGAUUGACAAAGGCAAGGGAAACAACGUUAACAAGUAUGUGUACCAAGGAAACGUAUGUGAAGCAUCCAAGCCCGUUUUCGUCAUUCCGGAUGUAAUAUCGUAUUUGGGAUUUCCAACCCAUCAGUGUGGCUGUGAUGGGAACGUUUGCAUCAUUGACAGCAACUUGACGCAGCUGUCAGAUUCGGACCAAGGCAUAUCUCCUUUGAAGCUGAAUUCUACGAGCUGUAGUAGCAGGACUUCCACUCUUUGGAAUCUUGAGGGCAUAGUUCCAAUGUUCUCUACAUACAGCCUCAAACGAAACGGAUCAUUCACUUUUGAAGUGACAUUUAGCUCUGGUUCAGCUGUAAAUUUUUCAGAGGCGAUGAAGGACGUUAACUAUGGGAUCAUAAAGAACGUAAGCUCGUGUGUUCAGGGAUGGCUGGAGCAACAGCCGGUUGAAAAACCUCUUACAACCAUCUCCCAGGACUGUUCCCUUCAAGGCAUGGCAAACCUUGAUUAUCACAGCGAUGAAAUGAUGUUGCGAUUCCCACUUGCUGCAUCGGGGAUGAGAGAGACGUUUGAUUAUAAAGUUCCCAUUGGCAACACACAAGAGGACGUUUACUGUGGCAUGGAUCAAGGACAAGUAGCACUGACCCAGAACUUGUGCAUGCUAAGCAUGACGAAGCUCAAGCCCUCGGGAGAAAUGUCAAUGCUAGCACAGCAACUGGAUGUCUUUGCAAACGUUGCGGACAUAAAGAGGUUCGCCCUCAAUGAAUGGGAGAAGGGGUCUUCAAAGAGAGCUCGAGUUCUCUUUGAGAUCUUGGUGGCAAUCUUCACGAUCGGGGCCACAAUCUGGGGAAUGUUUGCCAAGUCAUCGGAGAACUUUGAGAAGUCGCUCAUCAGAUUUGUUUGGACAGAGUUUCAACUUUCAGUGCUUAGAACAUUUGCACGGGCCUUAAUCCUCAUUGGAGUGAUGAUAUGGAACACAUUCAGCAUCUUUCAGAUGAUCAAAGAGGUGGAACUAAAGCGUUGUCUUGCCACCUCUGGAACAAUCAUCCAGGAGUUGAACGGUACCAGCUUUUUGAUCACCACCACCUCCACUAUUGAAGUGAUGCCCAAGUGGUCAAUCUUAUUUUGGGUGUGCUCACUGGAAUUUGUUAUCUUUGUGGCAGCAGUCGUUCUAAUCUUUCAUAGAUUGCGCAAAUCCGAAGAGCUUAAGACUGAAGAGAUCAACUUGUAAUGAAUAAUAUUUUCUGUUUGUAUUUGAGUAUAUGUUUAGAGUAGCGGAUUAUCAGAAUAUAAAUUUAAGGAGAAGCUAAAUUAUUGUAAUGUGGGAUGCUACGAGUUCUUGCUACUCAACUACGAAGUCUUCUUCUUCUUUUUGUGAUUCUUCAACUCAGCCUGGCAAAUCCUUUGUCUGAUUCCAAAUCGAUUACGAUUGAAAGAGGUCAUCCAGCAUCUCCAGGUCGAUCACCAGCAUCUAGAUGACAACGAUUACGCUUCUCUCCUCCGGAAAUGCAUCGAAUUCAAAGCUCUCACUGAGGGCCGCGACCUCCACACCCUCAUCUCCAAGGGAGAGUACGGACAGAGCUCCUACCUUUGCAAUCUCCUCACCCAGCUGUACGGGAAAUGCGGCCACCUCCAUGCCGCGAGGGGAAUAUUCGACUCCCUGGGUGAGAGGAGGAACGUUUAUUCCUGGAAUAUCAUGAUCAUGGCAUAUGCCCAGAACCGUCUGGAGGAGGCCAAGGAGAUCUAUGACCAGUCGCCACAAAGGACCAUGGUGACGUAUAACACAAUGGUCACGGCAUAUUCCCAGAACGGGCAUCUCCAGUGUGUCAAGGCCUUGUUUGAUGGGAUGGAGCAGCAAGACAUUGUGUCAUGGAACGCCAUGCUAGCACCAUAUGCCCAGAGCAGGCACGACACCCAGACCGUCGAUCUCUUCGAGUCCAUGGACAUCGACGGCGUCACGCCCAACCACGUGUCACUCAUCUCUGCACUGGACGCAUGCAGCAUGGUCGGGGAGCUGCGGCUGGCAGACACACUGUACGAUGCAGCGCUGACUCUUGGGUGUAUGGGCGACUACAAGGUGUGUAUGGCACUUGUAAACGCGUAUGGCUGGUGUGGCAGCCUGGGCAAUGCCAAGUGGAUAUUUGACCCCCUAAGAGUGAUGAGAUUACAGCCUGGAAUCCUGUAUCUGGUGGGCAAGAACCUCAGCGAUGCCAAAUCACUAGUUUUUUUCCAUGCCCGCGCGCAAUCACAUCUCCUGGAACAUCAUGAUGGUCGCAUUUGGGCGAAGUGGAUUCCAUUGCCAAGCCCUGGAUUGCUUCUGGCUAAUGGAUCUCAAUGGAAUCUCCCCGGACAGCGCCACUUUUGUGAAUCUGUUGGAUUUGUGCUCCACAUUGGAAGAGGGCAAGACCAUACAUGCCUGCACAGAGGAGAGUGGUUAUGCAACCCAUGGUGACAAUUGCUCAAUGCUAUGUGGUUGCAAUUAAACAAUCAAACUCAAUUGAUGGUGACAUUCAUGGCGUGUGGUACAACUCUUCUUGCUCUUGCUACCAACCUCAUAUUUGGCUAAAGUUCUUCUAUAGAAAUCCUAGGGAUGAUGUGUACUAUUGUUUACAGUGAUUGCCACAUAUCAUUCCUGGGACAAUGCAUGGUGUUUGUAUAAGUUUCCCAUGUGUCUCAAAGGGAUGGCAUUGCAAUUGUACAAUGGUCUGAGUGCAUCCACUUGUGCGGAUUAGAGUAUUCUCCUGGAAGUCUUCAAAUAUACAUUUAAAUAUGUUGACAAUUGUGAUGAUGUUUUCUAGCAAUUGCAUCAUCUUCAUUAAGGGUUAUUUAAGUUAAUGAUGCAAUUUAACAUUUGUUUCCAAAGCCUCUUGUUUGCCAAAUAUGGUAGAGUGAAUUAAGUUGGGAAUGUUGUGGCUCUUUCUGAUCGUAUUACACAAUUGCAAAUAUUGUUAAAGUUGUUAAUAAUGUUUUUCAUCUAGUUUAUGAAUUGUGAACAAGUAUUUAUGGAUCUCAAAAAGUUAUUGACGACUUUUCUAGUUUUGGCAUAUCCUAUUAUAUUCAACGUUUCAUUUUGCGUGUGGAUGUUUUUGAUAUCGAUCUUAAACAUGUGUUGAUGUAAAAGAGUUUAAGUGUGCCUAGUCAAUGCCAUCCCAUUGCAUAUAUCACUGCAUAUUACAACCAGCAAAGGUGAACUACUCCACGAUAAAGAAUGAGUAUUUAGUUGGGGUUUUGAGAAAUUUCAUGUAUAUCUACAUGGUUUUCAGACAUUACUAAAAGAUGAUCAUGCUGCAAUUAUUUUGUUAUUAAAGUGGAAGAACGUAGUUAGUCAUACUAUUUGGUGGGCUUUGAAACUUCAGAUAUAUGAUUUUGAUGUUAUUCAUCACCUAAGAUUGAUGUUUUAUGGUUUUAUGGUUGAUGUUGAUGCCCUUUCUCGAGCUCAUUUUCCUUCUUUGCUCUCUUCUUAUGUUUCUAACAAACUUGUUUUAGCAUUUGUGGAUUUUUUGGACAAAUAUUUUGUGCCAUUGGUAGUUGUUGUACUUGAUAUUCCAUGUCCAUAAGGUUAAGUUGUGGAUCUAAAAACUUUGCGUUGGGUUUAAGAAUCUUAUAUCACUUACUAGUGACUUGCCAUUUCAAUAUUUACAUUCUCAAUAUCACCUUGAGGAUGAUAUUUUUUAUUUUGUGAGGAUGAAUCCUGAUGAUCAUUUAUAGCUAAUAGUGUUUUUGAUAUUUAUUCCAUCCUUUCUCUAUACCUACCAUAAUUCUCCUGUUCUAGGUGGGCAUAUAGGACAUCAUUGUGUGACUAAGAAGUUAUAUAGCUCUCUAUUGACCGAAGAUGUAAUAUGAUGUUAUCCAAUAUGUGCAUAGUUGCAUUUAAUUCCAAACUUGUAAAACUCCCUCUCAUUUUGUAGAAGGAUAGUUGAAAUCAAUUGUAGUUUCCCAUAUAUUUGAGUUAGUGGCGUUUAAUCUGAUGGGGCCUUCUCCAAGGUUGACUAUUGGUAACGAGUAUGUCAUUAUUGUUUCUAAUCACUUAACUCAUUAAGUGGAAGUUAAUGCUCUUGCUAAUACAUCUACAACUGCUGUUAAAUACUUCCUCCUUAAUCGAGUGGUAUUUUAGCAUUUAUGUCCGAAGUGAGCUCUUUCAGAUAAUGGUUCUAUAUUUAUGGUUAAGGUAUUUCAUGUUUUAACAUCUCAAUUGGGAAUAUGCCACACUUUCACGAGUGUUUAUCAUUCACAAUCAGAUAGUUUGGUGAAAUGGCUCAUUCGAACCUUCAAAGGGACGAACUACCAAUAAUAAUCUUGGGAUUAAUAUUUGUGAAGCAUUAUUCCACUGAUCCAAGUAGAGUUUAUUGAACACUUAGGCCACUUACAAGUUGUAGCGCACGUGGUUUUGACCCUUUAUCCUAUGGUGAUUUACCAUAGGAUAACACCACGAAGCGGAACCUAAACCCUCUUUGUGCCACGUGACAGAUGCCACGUGUCACAUACCACGUGUCCAUGCCACGUGUCCAUAGGAACCCGAGGUUCAGGGCCUUGGGCCACUGAACGAAGGAACGGUGCCAAACUCCCAAGCGUGACGCCAAGGAGUGAUGAAACCGGACCACGGAGCAACUCCCGAGCAUAUAGCCCAAGGAGCGAGGGACAGGGGCCCGGAGCAACUUGGAACAGUCCUAGAGCAACCAGCAUCCCAAUGCCAGGACCAGCACGCAAAACGGAGCCAAACGGAGUCUGGCGCUAUUUCGGCAUACCGGUGGCCUAACGUGAGAAUAUGGGUACUCCACCAGCUAGCAUGGAAUGGAACUUGGGCUUAGACCCAAGCCGGACGCAGAACAAGGACAGGCACACAAGCAGGAGCUAGACUAUGCCUCAGGUUGGUCGGCCAUGCCCGACCUACCCACUAUCCCUACUAUACAUUUGGAACCCCCCAUAGCCCCCCCCCCCCCCCCUUGAGGAACACACGCUUUGGGCUUUCACCCCAAGCCUCCCUUAGUAUCAGGAGUUAGUCUCUGGGACAAACUCGAAACUUACUAAAUAUGGAAUGUCCUUAGAUUGCGAAUUUGGACACGGGACAAACACCAUUGUGUUCAGGCCGAUCUCUACAUUCCAUAGAUAUGCCAAAUGAGCAAAUCUGGACACUUUCCAUAAAUAGCAUCUGGGACAAAUUGAGACUAACACAAAGGGCAUGAUAGCGAGGGUGUUUGGCAGACACGGUAAGCUAUCAUCUAGCGAUGUUGAGGGACCAAGCUCAAUAUCGCGGGGGUUCCCAACACUAGCAAGUGCAAGUCAACGAAUGAGUUUCUCUAACCAGGUCAAGUAUGCUUGACUAAUAGCACUUAGGAAUUCCGUCCUUAUGCCCAUCUGGUCAAGUGCACACGCAAGGACCAGUUUCUCAACUAGCUUAGGCGGAGACUAAUAACGGGUCCAGCAAUACCGACCUCCUGCCAUCGUGACAGUAAGGUAAGAGUGUCCGUAAGGACUAGCCGACAGGUAACUUUCGAUACCCAAAGUCACAUGCGCGACACUCUCCCCCCCUUGGGAAGAUCGACAUCCUCGUCGAUGCAUACUCCAGUCUAGAAUACCGCCAAGGAAACAACUCCAUAAAAAGUUCACGGUACUCACACUAUGUGAGAAAUGCACCAACUUAAAUGAGUUAGGGGGCAACCUCUUUGUCUAACGCAGAUGCGCUACCAGCUCAGACACCUUCCGGCCGUCGCCGACAAGGAAAUGACCAACGGAGUCAGCCACCCCUGCUGCUCUGGGAGUCACCCAGCUGACAAAAGUGUGAUAUGCCCUGCCCGCAGAGACAUAGAGAGAGAAGCCAGAGGCCCCAACCCUCCUGAGCAAAGAAACCAAACCCGUCGGUAAGGUUUAGAUAGACUACUGUCAACAGGCAGUUUAGAGUUGUUUACACGGUCACGCCCUUUCACGGAACAAGGAACAUCGACAAAGAGGCGGGUUAUGUGACCAGUCGACAAUAGCUACCCCAUGACUAGAGAUUUCACCAUGCACACGAAGUGCCGAAGCCAGUCUGCCUAUACUGGCCCAAACUCAAAGAUCAAUAGAUGGACAAUAUCAAAGUCAUAGACAAUGAUAUCUUAGAGAUUUAAUUAUCAGUGAAUAAAGCUUAGAUUAGAACACAAAAGUAUUCCAAGUAAGUUAUCAUCCGAUAAACCAGUAGUAUUGUAGAUAGGACCCACCAAGAUCAUCAUAAUUGGUAAACAUAGGAAUCACCAUCUAACAAAAUUGAAUAGCAAGUAUAUCAUCAAGGAAACGCAAUGAUGAAACUUAACUAUCGAAGAUAGUAGACAGUAAGCCAACAACUUACUAGAGAGAACUCAAAGAACAUAAAGUAUCAUUGACUAACAAGCACAAUGCUCGCGAAUGUAUCACCCAAAGGAAAUAACAUCCAAAUCUAUCAAAACUAACUCGAGCAACAAUCAACAGAACAAAAUGAAUGUUGCAAAGCAAACAAACGCUUGUUCAUAUUAACCAUUACACUAGCCAAUCCGAAUAGAUCCCAACCAACAACACGAAGGAACUCAAGUUGCCUAAGCAAGUGUUAGCAACAUCCUACGGAUGUUUCAAACCCAAGAGACCAAUCCAGAGCAAACCACAAAGAAUAUGUGGUAUUGUGAAAAGCCAUAAGCCAUCAAAGAGAACAACUAACUAUCAUGAAAGAUCGUCAAUCAUUCCAUCAAUAAAGAGAUGCAUAAUCAUCGUCUAAGAAGGAAUCCACCAUCCCGAAGAACGGCAAACCAUUCUAUACUAACAAUAAUCAAGCAAAACUUUUUGACAUGGAUAAUCAACUUUCCUAGAUGAUAGUUAAUCAUCACCAAUGAUUGCUAGAUGCAAAAGCCAACUUCAACAUCGAAGCUAAUGAGCCAAAAUGCCUUCCCCAACAACUUCUAACAAAUGGAACAAUGAGCACAAAACUCAAGAACCAAAAGCUCGAAGAAGCCUAUAACUAAGUCUUGCCUAAUAAUGAUCACGAGUCUCAUAGAAGCUAACUUCAAUGCUAAAGAAGAAAUCAUGGUGCAACCCACAAUAUCUUCCUCAACACAUCCAUAAGCCAAACUUCAUAAUGCCAAAGCUAAUGAAGAGCAUUUCUGCAUCAAUCCAAAAGCUAAGCAUAACGAAGCUAUGCUUAACAAGUGAUCACCAAACGAUCCUCCAUGAAUCCAUCUAUAGCAAGACGUAACUCACUUCAUAGCAAGCACAAGAAGAAUCAUCAAUGAUUGAUAUAUUUCAACUAAAAUCCCAUAAGGAUUCAAAAUAUUCCAACAUCGAUCACUAACUCUCCCAUUUGUAGAGUUAGCAUAGUCCAUGACUAAAUCACUUUUCAAGGAAAAGCUCAAAGCUCAACCCCUACUAAAUAAUCUCGUUUAGAACACAACUAACUCAAACUUGCCACUCAGUUCAUUUGAACGUCAACAUAGUUGCUAACUAGCAAACGCAUGAAUGCCAACAACACAAAGCUAAAGCCAAAUCAUCAACACUUUUCAUUAAAACUAAUGAAACUCAAUAUCAAUCCUAAGGAAAGACAUUUCAUUUCACUCAAGUCUCAAUAUCAACAAUAUCAAUGACAAGGCCUCACUUCAAUGCCAUCAACACCAGGACAAAGCUAGAAGGAAGCAAGAGUGAAUCACCACUUGGAGCUUUCCAGCAACCAAGCUAACCAAAGUCGAAGAUACUAUACUUAGUAUCCGAGACCAAUCCUUCAGCAAAACUCAGUGACAGAUAACACAUCAUCAAGGAGUGAAUCACCACAUCCAAGACUCAAUGAAAUCCAACACCACGGACUAAACGUAACCAAAUGAUAUCGACAGAGAUAGAAUCGAUAUACUAACAUAGGAAAGCUAUGCAAGUCUAACGACACGAUCCUCCGCAACACCAUCCGGUAAAGCAAGCCCAUCACUGCUAAAUCAUCAUCGAGCAAAGCAAGUGUCAAUUGUCCUUGAUGAAGUCUACAAGUAAUCACUAGUCGCAAAGCAACUAACAAUCACUCCUCAACUUGCGUUCACAAGACCCAAACACCAACUCAAAUCAUCGAGUCACAUACUCAUCCAAUAUGAACGUAAUACCCCAAGUAUGAGAUAAAAGUUCAUAGACAAGCACAAACUAAAUGACCACUCGAAUCCAACUCAACCGCAAUAAGCCCACUAAUGCAUUUAGUCAAUAGCUCUGAGCAUGCCUUGAAGAGGCUAGCUAUGUGAUCAACACUCAGUCGAAACUCAAGUGAAGACCAUGAGAUGGACUCAUAUCGGUACACAACCUCCUCAUAGACAAAGCUAUAGUACGGGUACCAACAUCUCAACCUCAAACAACUAAGUUGGACAUCACCAUCCUCAGCCAAGGUGCAGGGCCACCAAAACCAAGUCAAGAUCAGUGAGAGCUCACUACUCUCAUAGAGUCUAACGUAAUGCAAGGUGCAAAUUGCCACCAAGCACAAUGCUACAAAAGAAAGGCACAAGGGUCACCUUUCUCAGAAAAGCGCAACAGCCACUUUUCUACACCAACUCUAGACUCUAUCCAACUCAAUUGCCUUAGCCCCAAAAGUCAGCAUCCCUUUCGGGCCGCAUCAUACAAACUACUUACUAAGAUCUAAGCCAACCGAAGUCAACUCCAACCUCUUCACUAGUUUGUACUGGCUUUCGAAAAUGGAAUGGUUUUCGAGCAAAGUGAUCAAUAGAUCAGCCAUUAGAAAGUCUAAGAAAAUUUGUGGAAAAUUUUCCAUCCUAGAGAAAGAAUGACUCUCAAUCCAGAAUUGCAAACUUUCAAGACUCAACCAAUUUCCUCCUACCAACAACUUCACAUAGGCUCACUUCAACACAAAUUCUCAUGAUCGAACAACAUGCUUAAGCAUUGAACAUCUUUGCCCAUUUAACCGUUAUCCAACACCGAUAUCCGCAAAGUGCAAAAUGAACAUCCAAGGCUUGAUCACGAAGACCACUUCUUCGGAUAUCCAUAUUGCACUAACACUCUUCUUCAAUCACCUUCAAGAUCCAAUGUGAAGCCAAAACACUAACAAGAAAAAUGACAUGGAAAAAUCAAGGUCCAAGGAAAAUUCCUCAUCACUUGAAAUAACAAUGCCACUUCCACUAACACAAGUGCUAGUGAUAUCAAUGCCCCAACUACACAUCUUCUCCAUCCAACAAUCUACUCCAAGUGCUAACGGAUCAACCGACAAGCCAUAGCAAGUAAAUGCUAUAACCCUUUUCCAACACUAAUGGACAAACUCAAGGAAACAAGGAACCAACUUAAGCUUAGCAUAAUGAACCACCACCGAGAAUCCAGUCAAAGCUACUACAAUGCUACUUCGUGCAAGUAAACUAACUUCUCCAUCCACCACUUUGGGGGUUGAUCAUCAUUUAUCCAAGCAACUUCGUAAACACAUUGCUCAUUAUCACAUGGAUAUGAUAUAUAAUCACAAUGACUUGAUCAUCAAUCGAGCAACACUACGAGCAUCAUCCAUGUCACUACUACAAAGGUUUACGUAAAUAUCAAGUGUCGACUCAAUUCAAUAAAAUGUAACAUAAAUGCCACACUCCACUGAUAGAGAUUUAUAACACCAAAUACCACCAACUUUUGUUCACAACACAGAUAAGCUCAUGCCACCCUCUUUCUGACCAAACUCAAAACUAAUCCAACACCAAGCUACUCAAGGAGCAAUAGCAAGGUUUCCCGGAAAAGAAUUGAGCAUUGCAACCCAAGUCUUCUAAUAGCAAGCCUAGACAAAAUGGAUUAGCGCUUCACUGCUAUCCAUCCCAUAACUCACCAUUGUAAGACCAUCAUUUCCAACAUGCAUCAAGGUAGGGACUCUUGAUUGCAUAAUGUGAACACAAGCAAUGAGUUAACACCUCAUUGCAAAUCAUCUCUCCUAGAAGAGAAAAUGAUUUACGUAUUUGAUCCUCCGUCCCCGAUAAGUCUCUUUCGGGUCUCAUCUUUGACUAAACCUCAAGCUUGCUUUCGCACUGCCUUUAGUCCAGUCCAAGAAAAGCUUAUGAGAGAGCACGGCAAUGAUUACUUGAACCAAUAGACUAAUCCCUACAGUCUUAAUUGAUCCACUUGUAGUCUUGCCUAGGAAGGAUCCACUAGUGCCGUGCUAAACAGCUACGGACCAGCCUAUUUGCCACUCAUAGCAAACCCAAGGAAAGUUUACUUUCACCCACGGUACAUGAAACAACUCAUGGAACCAACAAUAGGCUAACAUUAAUCCUGCCAACUCAAAGUGUAACCUAGAGUUGCUAAUGUGCCUCACUCACGAGCCCAAGCGCAAACUCGUGUAACGGAACAACUCAGUCCACCUAUGAGCCCAAGAGCAAGCUCACAUAAUAUGGAACAAAAAGGUAACCAAAACCAUACCCAAGGAACGAUUGCGAAGUCUUUGCACCCAAACGUGUACCCACUCGGAUCAUCGUUUUCAUCUCUGCGUAUGCAACGAGACUAGUUGCCCAAUCUCAUUGAAUAGUAUUCGCUGAGACUCAUUCUCUGAUACCAAAUGUAGCGCACGUGGUUUUGACCCUUUAUCCUAUGGUGAUUUACCAUAGGAUAACACCACGAAGCGGAACCUAAACCCUCUUUGUGCCACGUGACAGAUGCCACGUGUCACAUACCACGUGUCCAUGCCACGUGUCCAUAGGAACCCGAGGUUCAGGGCCUUGGGCCACUGAACGAAGGAACGGUGCCAAACUCCCAAGCGUGACGCCAAGGAGUGAUGAAACCGGACCACGGAGCAACUCCCGAGCAUAUAGCCCAAGGAGCGAGGGACAGGGGCCCGGAGCGACUUGGAACAGUCCUAGAGCAACCAGCAUCCCAAUGCCAGGACCAGCACGCAAAACGGAGCCAAACGGAGUCUGGCGCUAUUUCGGCAUACCGGUGGCCUAACGUGAGAAUAUGGGUACUCCACCAGCUAGCAUGGAAUGGAACUUGGGCUUAGACCCAAGCCGGACGCAGAACAAGGACAGGCACGCAAGCGGGAGCUAGACUAUGCCUCAGGUUGGUCGGCCAUGCCCGACCUACCCACUAUCCCUACUAUACAUUUGGAACCCCCCAUAGCCCCCCCCCCUUGAGGAACACACGCUUUGGGCUUUCACCCCAAGCCUCCCUUAGUAUCAGGAGUUAGUCUCUGGGACAAACUCGAAACUUACUAAAUAUGGAAUGUCCUUAGAUUGCGAAUUUGGACACGGGACAAACACCAUUGUGUUCAGGCCGAUCUCUACAUUCCAUAGAUAUGCCAAAUGAGCAAAUCUGGACACUUUCCAUAAAUAGCAUCUGGGACAAAUUGAGACUAACACAAAGGGCAUGAUAGCGAGGGUGUUUGGCAGACACGGUAAGCUAUCAUCUAGCGAUGUUGAGGGACCAAGCUCAAUAUCGCGGGGGUUCCCAACACUAGCAAGUGCAAGUCAACGAAUGAGUUUCUCUAACCAGGUCAAGUAUGCUUGACUAAUAGCACUUAGGAAUUCCGUCCUUAUGCCCAUCUGGUCAAGUGCACACGCGAGGACCAGUUUCUCAACUAGCUUAGGCGGAGACUAAUAACGGGUCCAGCAAUACCGACCUCCUGCCAUCGUGACAGUAAGGUAAGAGUGUCCGUAAGGACUAGCCGACAGGUAACUUUCGAUACCCGAAGUCACAUGCGCGACACAAGUGGGAUAACAAUGAUGCUACAACUCUCAUUAUUGUUCACUUAUAGAGUACAAAGUGGAUGACUUGGUGUUAAUCUAUUUUCUUAAUCUUACGGCACAUGGUUUGUUUAAAGGGCUCUUUGCUCAUUAUAAAAGACUAUAUCGUGUAUUGUGGCAAAUUAAACCACAAGUUUAUGAGGUUUGGCAUAAUGUCCAAUAGGCUGAUCCUUUAGAAACUGUAGCGCAUGUGAUCAUGGGAUGAAAUUUGGAUAUAUUGUCACCGUGAAUCUUUGGAACCUUGGGAGAUAAAUGGGGAUAAAAUAGCCACUAAGGGCUCUCUCAUUAAGCAAUUGCCCUUUUUUCAGUUAGUUUUUCUCCCCGGAAAGAAAUAAGGUGCACUACAUUAAUUAUACAUAUGCAAUAGUUGAAAUGCUUCAUACAAAGGGAUUAGGAAAAAUUAAUAUCACUUAUAGAUCCACUGAUGUUUGUUCCUCUAGAUCUCAGCCUAUCCACUAAAGAAUCUUAAUUAUUUUCCAUCAUUCUAAAAGGAGGGGAUGAUGUGAUGUCCAAGUGUAUGGCUAUGAUGCUAUAUAUUAAUAUUAGUGUAGUGGGAUUUUGAUAGCUGUCAGAUUGGUUUUAAUCAGGACUAAUUGCUCUUGCAUAUAAGUUAGAGUUUUUAGGUUAAUUAAUAUGCAUAUUUCUGUAUUCCAUGCACUUAUAAAACUUAAUAUAUUAAUAAAAUUAUAAUAAAAGUUAAUAAAAUAAAAUAAAAUAAUUAAAUUUAGAAAACAUUAGCAAAUUAUAGUUACAAGAUAAUUAUAUUAAAAAUAUUUUUCUUUUAAAAUAGAGGAAAUUUUUUUUAGCAAAAUUUAUGAUUCUCUAAAUACUAUAUAUCUGGUAUAUCUGGGAAAGCAUUUGAUAAGUAAGUCAUUUAUGAGAAGUUUAUAGUAAUAAUGUUUAGAGUAAGUUUUUAAUUUGCUUAAGCAAAUAAACAUGUGGAUGAUAAUGAAUAUACCUAGAAUAUGCUUGAAUAUUCGAGAAUAUUCUACCAUCUAACAGUUGUUAUUAAUCUAGAUUAAUCUUGUAUUUAUAAAUUAUAAACAAACUUUCCUAAACACUUCCUAGUAUAUUCUAGUUAUUCUACUAUCUAAUGGUUGAUAUUCAAUAAAUGUUUAUAAAUUAUAAACAUGUUUAUAAUUAUAUACUUCCAUUUGAUUAAUUGGAUUAAUAAAUCAGAUUAAACAAGCCAAGCGGUUUUAGAAAAAAUUAAAAUAUAAUUUUAACAUAUAAAACAUUAGUAACAUUUUUUAGUUACUAAUUACUAAGUUCUUCCAAACCCUCUGUAAACUUCACUUGUAUCCAGAGCUCACCCAUUACCACUUGGCUCAAGGUAGAUGUUCUCAAUCCCGCUCCCUUGAAACACAAGCUCGAGCAUGCCUAACUCUUCCCUCUGCCAAGGCCUCCACGAUCUGCCAUCUUACACGUUUCUGUAAGGCAAACUAUUCUAAGCACAUCAUCAAGAAAAUCCUGCCAAACAGCUUGAACUCAUGAAAUCUAUGCAAAAUUCAUUCAGCGAGGUUUGGGUAUAUGCUGUUUACUUUAAACUCUGCCAACUUUGUGAUGGAUUUUCUUAAAGAGAAGAGACAGCAACGGGUAGCAUUUCGAGUCUCAGCGCGCUGAGUUUGUGUUUCACGGGAACUCGAUUCUUAAACAAGACCUUGAUCCCAGCAAAGCCAAGUGGAGAAGUUCUAAUAGAACCUGCAGAUCUUAACAGUGUCUUAAGAAGAAAAUAUCCAGCAAAUUAAACUUGGAUCUUCCAUACACUGUGAAUUCAGCUGAAGCUUCCAUUGCUCGUUUGCCGCUAAAAACUUAUCUGUCUAGAGAAACAGACGCCAGUUUGUGCAUUCCAGAUUAAAUAUUACAACUAAUUAGGUUUUGUCUAUCCAAAAAUGGCCAUGCCGAUGGAGCCGGGAGUUUACUGGCGAGUCAAAAACAAGGCCUGGAAGCCAUACAAGCAAGACGUUGCUCUAAAGAUCCUUGUCAAAUAUUUUGAGGUACUGUUCCUUCUUCAAAGAUUGCUUUUCUUUUUCCAAUUCAUAUUUUAUAGUGGUUGAAUAGCGCACUGCAAUCCACAAUGCCAUUGGAUUUGGGUGAACGAGGUUGGCACAGUAUCAAUUUCGGGACAAUGAAGCUGAAGAGUAGACUCGGAAGAUACGAUAGAAGCGUCAAGAUAAUCCUCGCGCCCGUAGAGGACGAGCUCAUCAAACUGAUGGAUGCCAAGUUUUUGGAGUCGACUGUCCUCCCUUAUCAUUCCGGGAUUACUUUUUCGCAAAUCCAUCCAAACAAAUUAUCCCCGGCUACAAAGAUCUACAAGAAGUUCGUGAGAGCUCUCCAAUGCUACGCCACCCUCCACGACAAGAGCAUCUUGGGUACGUAAACUCUACAAGUCUGCCAGCUUUUCACGCUCUUCCUGCCAACCUUUGUGCUAAGUUUCUUUGGUGGGUAAUGCAGAUGAGAUGCGGCAAGCGGUGAACAAGUGCAACAUCUCAAGCCUCAAAUCGUUGGAGUUUGUGUUUCAUGGAAGCUGGCAGAAAAACAUAAGCUCCAUCCUUAAACGGGGUCUUGAUCCCAAGAAAGCCAAGGACAGUGGCUUUGGACCCUUUCUGUGGGUUGGAAAGACUCCACGGGUGAGCUGGAGUUACUGUGGUUGCGACCCACGUACAAUGGUGCUGUUUUUGGAGCUCAAAAAUCAUGGCGAGAGCGACUGGACCUGGGAUGGCAGACGAAGUGUACCACUUAACAAGAGCCAUGUCUUACUGCCAGUUGCAAAACUAGUUAUAAACUCGCUCUACGAUAGCUGAUACUUCACCAUCUUUUUUUUGUAUGCCAAAAGUUGAUUGACAUUGUGUGUGUCCAUCGUUUUUUUGUAUGCCAGAAGUUGAUUAACAUUGUGAUAUGAGAGAGAGAGAGAGAGAGAGAGAGAGAGAGAGAGAGUCAACGCCCAAGAAUACCAGUGAAUAUUCACAAAACACGUGGCACUAUGCCAUGCUGCCAAAUGUAAGCCGUUGAAGUCCACGUGUUUGGCUAGGGCAAAACAUCUGCGCCAUGAGCGACGAGGAAGUGAGCGAGGCGGUGGUGAUGGCGGAGGCGCCGCCGGUCAAGAAGAAGAGCGUCAAGAUCGCCGCCGCUGCCAUCGCCAGCGACGAGGCAGCGGAUCCCAGCGGCGCCGUCAAUGUGGGCGGCGAUCGCAAGGCCAAGAAGGUCAUCGUGGCCAUCGACGAGAGCCAAGAAAGCAUCCGAGCUCUCCGCUAUGCUCUCGACACUGUCGUCCAGCCCGGGGAUGGGCUUGUGCUGCUACACUCGCAGUUCAUGCCCCAUAGCUACGUUGGUCCCGGCGGCCCAGGUACUAAUCUUCUUCUCGUUCUAGCUUUUUCCAUAGAGAAUGUGGGGCUUGCUCCUCUUCUUUUUCUCUUUCGAGCUAUGGUUUGAGUUCUUUGCUAUGGUUUCCUCCUUGCUCCUUGAGUGUGGAUGUCUUUCUCGUUGGGAUUAGAGCUAUGGGUGUUAGAUCUUUUGUCUUUGGCACCAAAGUUUGGUCCUUGUGAUCUGCGCUUCACACGCAUUUCCGUCAGCUCUAAAACCAGGUAAAGCUUCGUUGGUUUUUGUUAGAGGAUCCAGUCUAUAGAGUUUUUGUGAUCUGCGCUUCACACGCAUGUCCAUCAGCUCUUAAACCAGGUAAAGCUUCGUUGGUUGUUGCUAGAAGAUUCAGUCCAUAGAGUUUUUUUUUGUGAUCUGUGCUUCCAUCAGCUCUAAAACCAGGUAAAGCUUCGUUGGUUUCUGCUAGAGGAUUCAGUCUAUGCUUUUCUACUAGCUUUCAUUCCUUGAGCUUUGGCUUUGGUAGAUCUUUUCUUCCUUGGCUUUUAGCUUGAAACGCAAAGACAUUGGUUCUGUAGGCUUCUACAUCACUCCCGACUUGGUGGCCGCCACAAGGAAGCACCAGGAGAACUCAAGCAAGGUCUUGCUCGACAAAGCCAAGAGGAUUUGCGGCGAUGCCAAUGUGGGCUCCUCUUCUGUGUUUAAGAUGGUCUUUUAUGCACGUUUCUCGCAGGUCCACCACCCAGAGCUUCUGAUGGCUACUGGAGAUCCUCGCGACAGUAUCUGCGACGCCGUGGAAAAGAUCCAUGCCGACUUGCUGGUGAUGGGAAGCCGCGGUCACGGAGCCAUCAAACGGUGAGCUCUCACUUUCUUCUCGAAGAUCACUAAAGCUCUUUUACUUUCUCGACCGACACAGGACUUUUCUUGGCAGUGUGAGCGACUAUUGUACUCACAACGCGAAAUGCCCGGUUUUGAUCGUCCGAAAGUGAGCCAAAGUGGAUGGCUUUGUUUUUCUUUCUUUCGUGUAUAUAUACGGUAUGGAUCUGCAAGUUCUCUCGUUUCCUUAUUUCUCUCAGCUGCACAAAUCGGAGGCUUUACUUUUUUUACAGUGACAGCAGCCUCCGCUGCUUAAAGAAUAAUACGAAUGCGAGAAAGAUCGCGAUGCCAGCAACGCCAGACGUGAUGAGAAUCCACUUGAAAGCUCGCGGCUCGUCAAAGAGGUCAAUCUGGAUGUUCAUCCCGAAAACACCCGCAAUCACGCCAAAAAUCGCCACCACGAACGUCGCGGUCGUGAGCAGCAACUCGAACUGGAUCAGCUGGUUCCUCACAUUGUCCUGGACGAUCAAAACCAAAGACCAUCGAUCAAAAACCGAAAAACCUUGGAUCGACAACUUCUCGGAAAGUACCAGUUGGAUGUUGAUGAAAUCCUCGGUGUCGUCAAUGUACUCCUUGAGCUGUGUAUAACCAGCGAGAUUAACACGGAUAACACCACGAGCCUUUCUUUUUUUCACUCGAAAAACUCGAAACCUUCGCCUUACCGAGGUGAGCUUGUUGAGCGUGCCAUCGAUGACAACAAAGUAGGCCUCGAGCAGCAUCUCCAGCUCCUCCACUCGCUCCGUUUCACUGUCCGAGCCGGGUGGCUGGACCAAGAGGUUUCUUCCCAGGCUCAUCGUCUUGUCCAGGCUCUUGAUCUUCUCGGUCGGCGGGCUGCCAACCGGAGACACAGGGGCCGACACCGACGCACAGACGUUGUUUGAGUACAAGAAGCCCUCGGCUCGCUCCUUCUUCUCGGUUAGAUACAUCUCGGCCAUGUCACCGUCGUCGUCCAUGAGGUGCUCGAUCUCGUCCCGGACCUGGAAGUUCGUGUGAGAUGAAGUAUCAAUGAGGUUUGUGAGCUUGGGAGGCUCGAACAAACACCAGUGAAGUUGGAACGAAGAUGAAAGAGCAAGGAGUGUGAACAGAACCAAAGUUCGUGUGAGAAGAGAGAAGCAAAGAUCAACAAGUGAGGUUUGUGAGCUCGGGAAGCUCAAGAAGAUGGAGUAAAGUUGGAACGAAGAACAAGGUGUGACUCCAGCAAACUUAUAGGAGAGAAUGAGAAGAGAGAAGCAAAGAUCAACAAUGAGGUUUGUGAGCUUGGGAAGCUGGAGGAAACACCAGUGAAGUUGGAACGAAAAUGAAAGAACUAGGAGUGUGACUUAGUGGUUUCAAUGGAAAGAAAUGAAAGAACUAGGAGUGUGACUUAGUGGUUUCAAUGGAAAGAAAGCUUCCAAAGGGGAAACGGAGUAAAAGCAGUACCUUUUGGACUCUCCUGGUGAGUGCCACGAGCCUGCUCUUAAGCCUACGAACUCGCUCCAGGUUGAGCGUGCUGAUCUUCGAGGUUAGAUCGUCCAGAACUGGAUACGCUUCCUCUUCAAGCUCUGUAGCCUGUCAAAAAGAGCAAAAAGACCACCGGUGAGUAGCAAAAAACGUGCCACAGGAAAGAGGAGAAAGAACAAAAGAGAAAAAAGAAGCAAUCAGUAGUAGUAUCACAGAAAAAGCAAAAGGCACCAAAAGAGAAAAAAAAAAUAUUGAAAAAUCUCAGAGAAGAAAAAAAGAAAAGCAUGAAAGUUCUUCCAAAGUUUUCUUCCAAGAAUCGAGGAACUAGAACUUGGUUACCUGUGUGUCAAGAUACGUGCACGCCGACUCCAGCGCCACCUCGAGCGCUCGAAACUCGAACGGCAAAUCGUCCGCUGCCGACGAUCCGCUAAACAUGUCCGUCUCUCUCAUCAGCGCCGCCCUCCUCAUCUCCUGCUUGGCCGGAUGAUCCUCAGUCCCACACUCCCAGCUCCCUCCUCCACCACCUCCACCACCUCCAAAUCCAAUCGCUCCAAUCCCACCACCACCACCAUAUCUCCCGGCGAUGUUGCUACUGCUCGAGGAGCUCGUCAUCCUCGGCAUCAAUCGCCGCUGGAGCUCGCUCACGUACUGGAGCACGUAGUGAUCCAGCGAAUUCAAGAGCAGCACCUCGUCCGCGGUGAUGAUACACCGGAUUUGCUCCAAGUUGACAACGAUGGCCUUCUCUCGUCCCAGCAGCGUGGAAGGAUAGACAAAGAGUGGAUCCAGCAGCCGCAAGUCGCGAGCCGGAAGCUCACACCUCCUCAUGAUGCUGAACUUGUCCAUCUCUAGCACCUGGGAAUUGCCCGCGCGGUCGAUCCGGAUCCACGACCGGAUGCCCUGCCCGCGCUUCUUCAAUCCCACCACGUCCAUCCCCUGGAAGAGCGGCUUGGGCAGAUUGGAAGUGGGCGAUUGCGCGCGAUGGAGGAGCUUGUAUCUCAGAUGAUCGCCCAUGCUUGGUCGCGUGCUCUUGUUCUUGCUCUUGCUCUUCCAUCAACGCCCUAAAACGUCCUGGCCGGCACUACCACCCCCGGGCGGAUUGAAUUGCUGGAUUUGGAGCGUACCCAUUUGCGAGCGGUGCCGGGGACUCACACCCAAUUCGCCCGAUCCAUCGCCCACGGCCUAUCGCGCCGCCUCUCCAUCGCCGCCGCCAUCGCCGCCCAGGAAGAAGAAGAUGGCCGCAUUUGGGCAACCUCUCGAUAGGGAAAAGUUUACUGGCUUCGUUUUUUCCCCUUUUUUACCUACUUAUCCUAAAAAUCUUUGUGUGUGCGUAGUUUACUCACUGUGGCCACCAUCUUCCUCCAGGAACUCCAUUUAUAAUGCGUGGAAGUUCUUCUUCCUUGAUCUCUUCCUCCAAGAACUUUGGAGAACUCCAUUUAAUGCCUGUGAGUUCUUCCUCCUUGGAUCUCACUGCUGCUCUAAAGAUCUUUGUCUUUCGGCGAUCCAGCAGCAGUAAUAGCGCCCCUUGUGUCCGAGUCCCCCGUGAUCUUAUCAUCGCCAUCGCCGCUCAGUGAAAGCGUGCGUUUGGAUCCAGCGAGUGCUACUCCCAGCACUAGAUUGUCUUCUCCAAAGUUUGCUGGAGGAGAUUUCUUGAGCUGUUGUUCCUCGUUGUUACUUCCCUGGCCUGUGCUCUUUGUUGUUGGAGGAGAUUUCUUUGCCAGUAGUUCCUCGGUGCUCUUUGUUGUCGGAGGAGAUUUCUUUGCCAGUAGUUCCUCGUUGUUACUUCCCUGGACUGUGCUCUUUGUUGGAGGAUAUUUCUUUGCCUGUUGUUCCUCGCUGUUACUUGUGCUCGCUUGAUUCGAAAAAGAAGAAGGAACUGUUCCUGUUACUGUUGCUGUUGCUGACCCCGUCUCUUUCCAUGGAUCGUCCACCUGUUGGUGCUGCUGCCUGUCUCUAGCUUCCUUUUGCUUCACUUUCAAAUCUUUCGCUGUCUCGGAUGGUCUUGACUUUGUCUCUUGCAACUCUUUCGCUUUCCCUGUGCUCUCGUUGCUCGCCUCCAGCUUGAUCUCUCGUUUCGGCGAAGCUGGGGGUUCCUUGGGCGAUGUCGACGCCUUUGGUGGCUUGCUGCUGUCUUUGAUCGCUUGCUUUCCUAAAUGCUGCUUUGUGUUUUCGCCGGUCUCGCUGCUUUUCUGGUCCUCGGCCUUAAUCGUCGCUGGCUCGCCACCACUGUCAGCCGAGACUUCCGAGAUCUUUGCUGGAGGUUUUUCGAAAGCCGCACCUAGCAAGCUCAUGUCUUUAGCAUUAAGUCCCAUGGAAUCCAAACCUUCGAGAGGUGUCUUUGGAGAAGGCUGUGCUUCUUCCAUAUCCUGUUUCGGAACUUCGAUAGGAGCGACAGUGUUUGGCGCCUCAUGCUUCGCCUUCCCAGACUCGGCUGGUACUGCGGAUGCGUCUACGAGGAGCAACGGCCUGCCAUCUUCGUUGACACGUUUCUGUAAGGCGACUGGCGAGUUUCUGCUUCGUCGUAUACCCUCUGGAUAGAGCGAAUGGGAGUGGCAAGUCGGGCAUUGUGAUGGCUGAUGACUUUGAGCAGGUUGAGAAGAAUAAUUUC
rnacentral:lncRNA from 1 species